rnacentral:lncRNA from 1 species
UUUUGAACCCUAGCUUCGAAGUGAGGAUUUUGAGAGCCAGUUUUCAUAUCAAAACAUUGGGCAAGUAUCUUUAAUCAAUUUCCAACUAUAUUGCAUGAUUUUAUACAAGAUUUAACAUCAAAUUCAUGAAAUUAUAGCUAUAUUAAUUGAAGUUGUUUUCUCUUGCAUUGUGUGAUGUAUUCAAGACGUCAUUGGCUAGAUUGAGUCGAGCGAAGGCGAAUUUGUAGAGGAAAAGGCUAAGUUGAGUGUUGAGUUAGCCGAAUCGAGGUAAGUGUUUUGCCUAACUUUGUUGAGGGAAUUUUUCCUCCUAUUUGUCAUUGUUUGCUACAUGCGGGGGUGAUACAUAUAUGAGGUGAUGAGCGUAUAUGUAUGUACCGGGAUUAAUCAUGCUCGGGGGUAGAUUGUGCUCUAAUUGUGUCUUGUAGAAUUACGUAACUCUCUUGCUUCAUGCUUCACUUGAUUUGCCGAUAUUAAGAACGUAGUAUAAAAUGUUAGUAAUCAAGACUUAGCCUAAUAUAACUUGAUCGAAUUUGAUAGAAUUCCGAGAAUACAUUGAUGUAUCUAGUUUGGUCAUCUUUAUGCGUAAUCAUUACUACAUUGCUACGGUCGAUAUUUUGAGAUGCUUGAUUCUAUACUUGGGUUGCUGAUAAAUUGUGAUAUUCGUGGAAGUACUUGAGUUAUACUGCCCUUGAGGGCUUAUUGAAUUAUUGGGGCUUAGAAAUUCCGUGAUUUAGAAUUUGUUGGAAUAUUCGUCUGAACACUCUCCUCUAUGUUAUUUAUACUUCUUACCUUGUCACUUUAUUGAUAUCAUAUGCUUAGUAAGGAAGAGUGUAAAGCACGAAGGGUGAUCCCGUGCCAUUUCAUAUACAUUAUCAUGUAAGGAAGAGUGUAAAGCACGAAAGGUGAUGUCGUGCCAUUUCAUAUACAUUAUCAUGUGAGGAAGAGUGUAAAGCACGAAGGAUGAUGCCAUGUCAUUUUAUAUACAUUAUCAUGUGAGGAAUAGUGUAAAACACGAAGGGUGAUGCCGUGCCAGGUGAGGAAGAGUGUAAAGCACGAAGGGUGAUGUCGUGCCGAUACAUUAUCAGGUGAGGAAGAGUGUAAAGCACGAAGGGUUAUGCCGUGCCAUUUCAUAUACAUUAUCAUGUGAGGAAGAGUGCAAAGCACGAAAGCUGAUUUCGUGCCAUAUACGUUAUCAUAUGAGAAAGAGUGUAAAGCGGUGAUGCCGUGCCAUUUCAUUUAUAUUGUUAUGCUUUUUAAUAUUGUGUGGUCAUGGCACGAAGGGUGUUUCCGUGCAGGUGAGGAUGAGGGACAUGCAUUAUGAUGAUCUUUUUUCGUGUAUACACUUCCACCCUUACCUUGAGCUGUUAUUGUCGCAAUUAAAUAUUCUGAGUGAUAUGUUGUUAUUAUCCCGUACUUGACCUCUAUCUCAAUUGUUGUUGUGUUGUCCAUGUCUUUUACUUGAUUAACUUGCAUAUGCCAUGCCUAUUUCCUGCUUUGAAAUUAUACUCAUGUCAUACUUAUUAUGUCGCACUCUAGCUUAGUCAUUCCAUCAUACCAAUCAUUCGUGCCCUUGCUUGUUAACUUGUAAAGAUCAUGUGUUUCCUUCUUAUUUGUCAUAUUUGUACUUAGGCCUCCAAUAUACUAGUUAAUUGACGUUGAUACCCCUUGCUUUUCAAUUAUUGUUAUUACUCGCGUGCUUUCCGUUUAGUCCUUUACCGUUGUCCACAUGUAUAUCCUGGUCCAUUGUUGUUACUUGCGUAUUUCCUACUUUGUAAUUCCUAUUAUUGUGUUUCUGUCAUAUGGUUGGUUCUGUUAUACGUUCAUUUGGAAGGAUGAGUUGAACGCACGAAGGAUGUUGCCGUACUAAUUGAAUUGUGCAUAAAUUUAUUUAUACAUGGUGAGGAUGAGAUAAAAGCACGAAGGGUGUUGCCGUGCCAUGUGAUUUAAUAUUUUGUAUAUACUUCUCAUACUAGGAAAGAUCGUAAAUCUUUUAUUGUGGUUCCUUUUAGUAAUUGUUGACUGUCUCGCCGAGUUGUAUAUGAUACUUGCAUCUGCUAUGCUUUGAACUGCUUUACUGCUAAUCUAAUGUACAGAUUAUAACAAUAAGCAUCUUUUAACUAAAAGCCUCGUCACUACUUCGACGAGGUUAGACAAAAUACUUACCAGUACAUGGGGUCGGUUGUACUGAUAUUGCACUUCUGCACAUUGCGUGCAAAUUUUGGAUCGGAGCUAUUGGUGAUGUCGGGUGCUGAUUCUAAAGAUGUUCGUGCAUUUGGAUACAACUGCCACUUGUCCUUGGCGGCUUAGGUUAUUGCUAAUCUGUUUAUGUAACCUUCAAACAGAACGUGUAUUUAUUUGUAUUAGUUUUGAAAUUCCAAAUCUUAGAAGCUCGUGAUUCGUACUACCAGGUCUUGGGUAAAUUUGUAAAUGUUCAGUUAUCUAUUCUCUAUUAUCUUAUAAUCUCAGUUGAGUUGUAUUUUCUGUUAGUUGCCUUACAUAGCGGGUUGAGUUAGAUGUCAUCACGACUUGUGGUUUUUGGAUCAUAACAAAGGUAAUAAAAAAUGUGAAAAAAUAUACAAAGAGAUAUCUUACGUAGUUUGCUUGCAUUGCAAAGUUUGAUUUACAAUUGGUUGUGUUAUCUUCGUCCAUCUUCUCUUUGCGUUGUCCAAUUAAUGCAAGACAAAACAAAAUGUUUGAAUUUUAAGAAACGCAUGAAGAAAUGGAAAAAUAGUAGGGUGGAUUAACGGCUUUUUGCAAACUAAGGGUCCCGUCUUUUCAUAUGUUUUGUUUGAAUGGCUCCUUAAUUAAUUCAGUAACGUCCAGGGAAAAAAAUAGUAACGUAAGGUAACAUAACUGGUGCAUUGUUUGGAUAAGCACCUUUUAAGAAGUGACUUUUGGUGUUUUAAUAUAGCACAUGAAUGAGGGACAACUAGGAUAAAUGUCAAAAAUUUGAGAAAAAAGAUAAAUAUGAUUCAUGGAUAAAGAGAUAUGACACAUCGCUCUUUCUUUCCCCUACUUUAUAUAGAUACUAGGGAAUUUGCCGCGCUUCGCGCGGUUUUAAAAGUAGCAGCCCAUCUCGAAAGGAUUUUGUUUAUAAAUUUAUUAAGAAUUAAAGCUAGAAUUUUUCAACUCUAUGACUAAAAAAACUAAUUUUAUAUAUUGAUGGCAAAAAUCACAAGAUAAAUGUUCUUGUAAAAUUAGAGCUUAGAAAACUACAUUUUUUAUUAUCAAAUAUUCUUAAAAAAUGAAAAAAAAACUUUUAGGGGAAAAAUCAUAUAUUUUUUUGUGGAGAGAGGUUAAUACGGGAUUCUCUUAGUCUUAUAUAUUUCAUAAUACACGAUCUAAGGACUUGAUGUUUUUUAAUUUUAUUAGAUAUUAAAACUUUUGUUUGAUGAACUUGUCUUCUAUUCAAAUAAAUAAAAGAAAAUAAUAAAACAAAAAGCAACGAAACUAAAAAAUCGGGAAAAAAAAACAUAUUACGUACAUUGCCUGCUUGUAGCACAUUUAAUUUCCUUCACAAUCUUCCCAGAAGCAACUAAUUAGUAGUAAAUCCAAGAAUAUUUCUCACAUCACUUUUUAAUCACUUCCAAUUUAACCAAAAGAACAUAACGGCACAUUUACCUCUUAGUUCCAUCUCCACCACAUUCAAGCUAAGUUUCUACUUACACUUUUUUAAAAUAAAAUACAUGAGAUAGGCCUUCACGGCUUAUUUUAGUUGAAAUUAAAAAUAUAGAUUUUUAUUUGUAAAAGAUAAAUCUCUUAUGUGUAAAAGAUNNNNNNNNNNNNNNNNNNNNNNNNNNNNNNNNNNNNNNNNNNNNNNNNNNNNNNNNNNNNNNNNNNNNNNNNNNNNNNNNNNNNNNNNNNNNNNNNNNNNNNNNNNNNNNNNNNNNNNNNNNNNNNNNNNNNNNNNNNNNNNNNNNNNNNNNNNNNNNNNNNNNNNNNNNNNNNNNNNNNNNNNNNNNNNNNNNNNNNNNNNNNNNNNNNNNNNNNNNNNNNNNNNNNNNNNNNNNNNNNNNNNNNNNNNNNNNNNNNNNNNNNNNNNNNNNNNNNNNNNNNNNNNNNNNNNNNNNNNNNNNNNNNNNNNNNNNNNNNNNNNNNNNNNNNNNNNNNNNNNNNNNNNNNNNNNNNNNNNNNNNNNNNNNNNNNNNNNNNNNNNNNNNNNNNNNNNNNNNNNNNNNNNNNNNNNNNNNNNNNNNNNNNNNNNNNNNNNNNNNNNNNNNNNNNNNNNNNNNNNNNNNNNNNNNNNNNNNNNNNNNNNNNNNNNNNNNNNNNNNNNNNNNNNNNNNNNNNNNNNNNNNNNNNNNNNNNNNNNNNNNNNNNNNNNNNNNNNNNNNNNNNNNNNNNNNNNNNNNNNNNNNNNNNNNNNNNNNNNNNNNNNNNNNNNNNNNNNNNNNNNNNNNNNNNNNNNNNNNNNNNNNNNNNNNNNNNNNNNNNNNNNNNNNNNNNNNNNNNNNNNNNNNNNNNNNNNNNNNNNNNNNNNNNNNNNNNNNNNNNNNNNNNNNNNNNNNNNNNNNNNNNNNNNNNNNNNNNNNNNNNNNNNNNNNNNNNNNNNNNNNNNNNNNNNNNNNNNNNNNNNNNNNNNNNNNNNNNNNNNNNNNNNNNNNNNNNNNNNNNNNNNNNNNNNNNNNNNNNNNNNNNNNNNNNNNNNNNNNNNNNNNNNNNNNNNNNNNNNNNNNNNNNNNNNNNNNNNNNNNNNNNNNNNNNNNNNNNNNNNNNNNNNNNNNNNNNNNNNNNNNNNNNNNNNNNNNNNNNNNNNNNNNNNNNNNNNNNNNNNNNNNNNNNNNNNNNNNNNNNNNNNNNNNNNNNNNNNNNNNNNNNNNNNNNNNNNNNNNNNNNNNNNNNNNNNNNNNNNNNNNNNNNNNNNNNNNNNNNNNNNNNNNNNNNNNNNNNNNNNNNNNNNNNNNNNNNNNNNNNNNNNNNNNNNNNNNNNNNNNNNNNNNNNNNNNNNNNNNNNNNNNNNNNNNNNNNNNNNNNNNNNNNNNNNNNNNNNNNNNNNNNNNNNNNNNNNNNNNNNNNNNNNNNNNNNNNNNNNNNNNNNNNNNNNNNNNNNNNNNNNNNNNNNNNNNNNNNNNNNNNNNNNNNNNNNNNNNNNNNNNNNNNNNNNNNNNNNNNNNNNNNNNNNNNNNNNNNNNNNNNNNNNNNNNNNNNNNNNNNNNNNNNNNNNNNNNNNNNNNNNNNNNNNNNNNNNNNNNNNNNNNNNNNNNNNNNNNNNNNNNNNNNNNNNNNNNNNNNNNNNNNNNNNNNNNNNNNNNNNNNNNNNNNNNNNNNNNNNNNNNNNNNNNNNNNNNNNNNNNNNNNNNNNNNNNNNNNNNNNNNNNNNNNNNNNNNNNNNNNNNNNNNNNNNNNNNNNNNNNNNNNNNNNNNNNNNNNNNNNNNNNNNNNNNNNNNNNNNNNNNNNNNNNNNNNNNNNNNNNNNNNNNNNNNNNNNNNNNNNNNNNNNNNNNNNNNNNNNNNNNNNNNNNNNNNNNNNNNNNNNNNNNNNNNNNNNNNNNNNNNNNNNNNNNNNNNNNNNNNNNNNNNNNNNNNNNNNNNNNNNNNNNNNNNNNNNNNNNNNNNNNNNNNNNNNNNNNNNNNNNNNNNNNNNNNNNNNNNNNNNNNNNNNNNNNNNNNNNNNNNNNNNNNNNNNNNNNNNNNNNNNNNNNNNNNNNNNNNNNNNNNNNNNNNNNNNNNNNNNNNNNNNNNNNNNNNNNNNNNNNNNNNNNNNNNNNNNNNNNNNNNNNNNNNNNNNNNNNNNNNNNNNNNNNNNNNNNNNNNNNNNNNNNNNNNNNNNNNNNNNNNNNNNNNNNNNNNNNNNNNNNNNNNNNNNNNNNNNNNNNNNNNNNNNNNNNNNNNNNNNNNNNNNNNNNNNNNNNNNNNNNNNNNNNNNNNNNNNNNNNNNNNNNNNNNNNNNNNNNNNNNNNNNNNNNNNNNNNNNNNNNNNNNNNNNNNNNNNNNNNNNNNNNNNNNNNNNNNNNNNNNNNNNNNNNNNNNNNNNNNNNNNNNNNNNNNNNNNNNNNNNNNNNNNNNNNNNNNNNNNNNNNNNNNNNNNNNNNNNNNNNNNNNNNNNNNNNNNNNNNNNNNNNNNNNNNNNNNNNNNNNNNNNNNNNNNNNNNNNNNNNNNNNNNNNNNNNNNNNNNNNNNNNNNNNNNNNNNNNNNNNNNNNNNNNNNNNNNNNNNNNNNNNNNNNNNNNNNNNNNNNNNNNNNNNNNNNNNNNNNNNNNNNNNNNNNNNNNNNNNNNNNNNNNNNNNNNNNNNNNNNNNNNNNNNNNNNNNNNNNNNNNNNNNNNNNNNNNNNNNNNNNNNNNNNNNNNNNNNNNNNNNNNNNNNNNNNNNNNNNNNNNNNNNNNNNNNNNNNNNNNNNNNNNNNNNNNNNNNNNNNNNNNNNNNNNNNNNNNNNNNNNNNNNNNNNNNNNNNNNNNNNNNNNNNNNNNNNNNNNNNNNNNNNNNNNNNNNNNNNNNNNNNNNNNNNNNNNNNNNNNNNNNNNNNNNNNNNNNNNNNNNNNNNNNNNNNNNNNNNNNNNNNNNNNNNNNNNNNNNNNNNNNNNNNNNNNNNNNNNNNNNNNNNNNNNNNNNNNNNNNNNNNNNNNNNNNNNNNNNNNNNNNNNNNNNNNNNNNNNNNNNNNNNNNNNNNNNNNNNNNNNNNNNNNNNNNNNNNNNNNNNNNNNNNNNNNNNNNNNNNNNNNNNNNNNNNNNNNNNNNNNNNNNNNNNNNNNNNNNNNNNNNNNNNNNNNNNNNNNNNNNNNNNNNNNNNNNNNNNNNNNNNNNNNNNNNNNNNNNNNNNNNNNNNNNNNNNNNNNNNNNNNNNNNNNAUAGAUUUCUAUCUCUUUCUCUUUCACUUACAUUUAUGUUAAUUCUUGUAUUUGAUUUUCACCCUUACCCCCUAUUUUUAUCUGAUCAUCUGAACUAUCUUUAUUUUCAACUUUCACACUACUAUCUUUCAUCAUCCUCAACGAUGUAACAACCUCAUUCUCCUCGUAACCUUCUCCAUUUCUCCCUAUUUUCGUCUCACGUAAAGGAGAUUUCUUCGCAGGCUUUACAUCCUUUGGUACGUCAUUCUCCUCGUAACCUUCUCCAUUUCUCCCUAUUUUCGUCUCACGUAAAGAAGAUUUCUUCACAGGCUUUACAUCCUCUGGUUCUUCACUUAAAUCAUGCGUUUCACUCUCACCAGAAUCACUCGUAUAUCGCUAUCCCUUAUUAGAUUGCGUCUUGCCCGCAGUUUCUUCUGCGGUUUCACUACGGAUGACGACUCCUCUUCUUCUCUCCUUCUCACCCUCUUGACCACUGAAACCCUUUUCUCACGGAGUAAAUGUUCUAUAAGUGGUUUAAGAAAAUGCUUCUGGGGUUUACCUUGGAUCCUGUAGCCGUUGCACCUCCAUUUCUUGCUGUCUGACCUUUUGCAACGGAGAUCAUCCGGCGGCUUCAACCCUAGCUCCAUAAUCGUCUCGUCGUUCCACCACUCGUCCUCUUCUUUCCCCGGCCUCAUUCCGACCUGUUGAUGAUAAGUAUAAUUGCAUUCACAUAUACACUAUCUUUUAACAUAUAUAAAGUAUGUAUUAUAGAUGUGCUCCCAUGAUGAUUAUUUUCAACUUUCGUUUGUUUUUCUUAGUGUACAAAUUAAAACAUGUGAAGCGAACAAAGAAAAUGGUUUGCUUACCAUGGUCAUGGAAAACUAAAGGAUACUCCUCCCUCACUUCAUGCUAAUUUUUAUAUUCUUGCUAUGAGAUUUUUUAUAAUUAAUAUUUUUUUGUUUAAAAAAUGUAUAAUUCCUUAUUCUCUUUUUGUAUAGGAUAAGAAGGUCUUUGAAAAAUUCAAAGUAGGAGAUAUUUCGAGCAAUACAAAAAAAUUUGCAAUGCUUUAUAUGGUAGCUCUCAAUUGGACCAUGUGAUUUUCUUUGGCCAUGGCCUAAACAUAUAGCAACAUGAUAUAUUUGGUUGAUCGUGAGGCAUUAAUGAGUUAAAUGAUCGCAAACUAUACUUGUGAUUUUUUAUUAAUUGUCAAACUUGUGGUUUUUUUAUAAAUUGCCAAGUGUGCAGUAAUACAAUUACUAUCACAAACUCCCGCUUGAUUUGGAUGCUUUGUCCUUGGACAAAAAAUAUUUUACAUUCUUAACAUCACUUUAGUGAUGAUCAAUUUUUAUAAGAUGUUCUUGAAUGGUCUCAUUGUGCUAGAAUCUUCAGUAAUGAUUUAUAAACUAAGGGGACAAGAAGUUUAAAAAAUUACAUCUUGAAAACAAGACAUCAAUGGAUAAGUUGAACAAGAAAAUUUCACUUAAAAUUUACCAUUAAUUUACUCUUUUCUCGCCCAAGUGAACUUCAAACAUAAUUGUCUCUUCGUUUUUUACCUUUUUGCUUUUGGGGGUCUUAUAUGACAGAAAUUAUAAAAUAUUUUAAUUGGCGGAGAUGAUCUUAUGGAACAAAGGAAUACUUUUAGGAUGUUAUUUUAGUUUUGAAGGAAAAGGGUUUUUGCCUGUAUUUAGAGAAGUGAUUAUAGUUUUUUCCUGAAUAACGUGACGGGUACUAAGAGGUGAGAAGAAAAGAUAUCAAAAUGAAAAGAUAGAGGAAGAAAAAAAGGGAAAAAAUGAGAACCGAAAAAAUAUAUUAAUUAGAACAAGGAGCAAGUAAUAACUAUUUAGAACAAACACAUGAUAAUAUUUAUUUUGUUGUCUCAAUCACCGUUUGGACACGUGUUGUUCUGUUAGUGUUGGAGAACUUUUUGAAAAUGUUCUCUCGAAGAAUUUUUUAAGAACAAGGAGGAUGAACUAUUUGAAAACACAUGUUAUUAUCUGUUUCACCACCUCAAUCACCAUUUUCACGUAUAAGUAUUGUUCUAUUAGUGUUUGGACUGGUCCUUUGAAAAUGUUUUGUUGGAAAAAUUUCUAAGAACUUUUGAAAAUAAUUUGUGUUUGGAUAAUUUAGUUUCUACACAAUCACAAUAGACUUUCUUUCUUUGAGAUGUUUUCUUUUGAUUCAAAACACUUCGAUUUCUUGGCCAACAACAAGCAAUUAUUCUUUGGCGAACAAAUCUUGAUUACUAUUGAUUAAUGUGCUAAUAAAGUAUUAAUCUAAUCCCAUCGGUUAAAUCUCAAAAGUAAAAGAUGCAUUGGGAUCUAAAUUUGCUUAAAACAAAUUUCUGUCGAAUAUCAUAUAAUCAUACGAAUUAGAACCGUUUUUGUUGAGGUGAAAAAAAAGGAAGGAUGAAAAUUGAAACACCGGAAAAAGGACCAUUUUUCAUUAAGAAGCUAAACACAAGAAAAGUAGAAGAGAAGUUCCUUUAUUUACUAAUUUCAAACUUUUAUAUUACUUCUAAGUUAAAUACAUAUGAAGAAACCUUCUCUUUUAUUUUCUUCGCAAUAUACCAAACAAACAACAAAAUAAAUUAUGAACAUCUUAUACGACAAAUAAAUAAAUGAAUUUCUCUUUUCUUUAAGUUUUUCCUUUCCUUUGUUAACCAAAUAUGCUAGAAAGAACUAGGACACACAUAAAUAGCUCUUCACAACUUAUUAUUUUAUUCUUUUAACCAUUUAAAUAUUGGAAACAAUUCAUUUCAUAAAUAUAAAGGUUCUUUAAAAUCGCGUGAAGCGACACAAGUUCACUAGUUCAUAUAAUAAUGAGAGACAAAAAAAACUGCAUGACUUUAAUCUAGUAGUGAGAGUGCAAUGCAUGUUUUUUGAGUUAGAUGCACGUCAUGGUUAAACUCUACUCUAUACAAAAAUAUGAUAAUAAGUGAAAAUGAUAAAGGAGUGAGUUUAUUAUUCAUUGAGUUUUGAACCUUUUACACUUGCCUAGGGGAUUACUUAGUUAAAAAAGAUGAGAAACAAAAGAACUUAGCUUUCUGAUAUAUGGAUCAAUCAAAUGAGACAAAAAUGCAUAGCUAAUGAGAGAAUCUAAGUUGAACUUUUAAAGGUAAAAUAACGAGAAACAUAAAAAAAAAGUAUAUGCAUAAAAGAAGAAAAAUAAAAUUACGUAAAUAUAUUGUUUAAAGUUAAUAUGAGAAAAAAUUUAUUAACUCACUCAAUCUUAGCUCUAUCAAAUUUUAAAUACAUACUAAAAUUUAAAUAUAUAUUAGUUCAGAUUUUGGCUUUUUAUAUAUAUAAGCCAGUGACUUCACCUGGCUGAACCCUAGAGCCGUUUUUCAAUCGCACAACAGCAGAUCAGCAAAAAUGGCUUCUCUGUGUCGUUUCAAACCGAAAAAACUCUCCACUAUUUCACCAAGAUCAACAUCCUUCUUCUACAGCUCCGAAUCCCUCAACAACCCGGACCCGAGCACCCGAAUUCCGACAACUCACAAUCCUAAAACCCCAGAAAAAGUAGAAGAUCUCAUUUGCAGAAUGAUGUCUACUCGCGUGUGGACUACACGCCUUCAGAACUCCAUUAGGAAUCUUGUUCCUUCAUUUGACCAUGAACUUGUUUACAAUGUGUUACACAAUGCAAAAAACUCUGAACAGGCGUUACAGUUCUUUAGAUGGGUAGAAAGAUCCGGUCUUUUCAGGCAUGACAGAGAAACCCAUUUCAAGAUUAUUCAGAUUCUUGGUAGGUCUGAGAAGCUUAAUCAUGCUAGGUGUAUACUUCUUGAUAUGCCUAAUAAGGGUGUUGAUUGGGAUGAGGAUUUAUGGGUUUUGAUGAUUGAUAGUUAUGGUAAAGCUGGGAUUGUUCAAGAGAGUGUCAAGUUGUUUCAGAAAAUGGAAGAGUUAGGUGUUGAAAGGACCNUUAAAUCNUAUANNNNNNNGGACCAUUAAAUCCUAUAAUGCUUUGUUUAAUGUGAUAACGCGUCGAGGGCGAUAUAUGAUGGCCAAGAGGUAUUUCAAUAAGAUGGUUAAUGAGGGUAUUGAGCCGACUACGCACACUUAUAAUCUGUUGAUUUGGGGUUUCUUUUUAUCGUCUAAGCCGGAUACUGCGAUUAGGUUCUUUGAGGCUAUGAAGAGUAGGGAGAUUAGUCCUGAUGUAGUGACUUAUAAUACUAUGAUUAAUGGCUAUAACCGGGCUAAGAAAAUUGAAGAGGCCGAGAAGUACUUUGUGGAAAUGAAGGCGAGGAAUAUAGAACCGAAUGUGAUCAGUUAUACCACCCUGAUAAAAGGAUAUAGUUUGGUUGUGCGAGUAGAUGAUGCAUUGAGAUUGUUUGAAGAGAUGAAGAGUUUUGGUAUUAAACCGAAUGCCAUUACGUACUCAACACUGUUGCCUAGUCUAUGUGAGGGACAGAAAAUGUCUGAAGCUAGGAUGAUUUUGAAGGAGAUGGAAGAGAAGUAUAUUGCACCAAAGGAUAACUCUGUAUUCAUAAGAUUAAUCUCUGGACAGUGUGAGGCAGGUGAUUUGGAUGCUGCAGCUGAUGUUCUGAAAGCUAUGAUCAGGUUGAGUGUUCCCACCGAGGCUGGGCAUUAUGGUGUCUUAAUUGAGAAUUUCUGCAAGGCUGGUGUCUGCGAUCGAGCUGUCAAAUUGCUGGAUAAGCUUAUUGAGAAAGAAAUCAUCUUGAGUAGUAGUUUGCCUAUGGAACAAAGUGCAUAUAAUCUGAUUAUUGAUUACCUAUGCAAUAAUGGCCAGACAAGUAAGGCUGAAACUCUAUUUAGACAGUUGAUGAAAAUUGGGAUUCAAGAUCCUGUUGCCUUUAACAAUCUCGUCUGUGGGCACUCAAGAGAAGGGGCUCCUGAUUCGGCCUUUGAAAUUUUGAAGAUUAUGGGCAGGAGAAAGGUUCUUUCUGAUGGUAUUGCUCACAAGUCACUUGUUGAGAGCUAUCUGAAGAAAGGGGAGCCUGCUGAUGCUAAAGCUGCUUUGGACAAUAUGCUUGAACAGGGACAUGAACCCGACUCAUUGUUGUAUAGAUCAGUGAUGGAGAGCCUGAUGGGAGAUGGAAGGGUUCAAACAGCAAGUCGAGUGAUGAAGAUUAUGUUGGAGAAGGGAGUCAAAGAACACAUGGAUUUAAUUUCUACUAUCUUGGAAGCCCUCCUAAUGAGGGGCCAUGUUGAGGAGGCCCUUGGAAGAAUUGAAUUGUUGUUACACAGCGGUCUCUCACCUGAUAUUGACGGUCUCUUGUCCGCUCUAUGUGACAAAGGAAAAACAGCUGCUGCUCUAAAGCUGUUAGAUUUUGGUUUAGAGAGAGAUUGUACCAUAGACUUUUCAAGCUAUGAUAAGGUGCUGGAUUCUCUUGUAGCUGCUGGGAAGACACUUAAUGCUUAUUCUAUGUUGUGCAAGAUGAUGGAAAAAGGAGGAGUUAAAGAUCACAAGAGUUGUGAGGAGUUGAUUAAGAGCCUCAAUCAAGAGGGAAACACAAAGCAAGCAGAUAUUCUAAGAAGAAUGAUCAUCGGAAAGGAUACAACUCUUGACAGCAAGAAAGCAAAGAAAAAGACAGCCAUUGCUACCUGAUUCCGAGAAGUUUUAGGUGAGAAUUUCUGAAACAAAUUAUCUGAAAGAUGAUGAUGAGAAUUUUGUUUUUAGCAGAAUAAUAUGAGAGAUGCCAUUUGGUAUUUUCCCCUUUCUAAGUUUUUGCAUUCUGGAAUCAGUGAUCAUAUUUUUUAUGCAUGAAUUUGUCUAUUACAUGUUUCUUCUUUCGAUUGUUAAAUGUCUUCUACAAGUUUCAUUUGCCUAUAACAAUUAGGGAACGUGGUUUGAGGUCUGAUGACAUAUAUAUUCUGAUGGGAAAAUUGGUUCUGGUUUUCAUCCUUUUGAAUGUCUAAGAUAUAGUUUCGGUCAAUUCAGAAAACCGAUUAUCCAAUGAUGGGCAAUUAUUUAUUUAACUUUUUGGGGGAGGCCUCUGUUUGAUUUCUUGGUGCCUUAGCUGAAAGUUCGGCACACAAAUGUUUUGUCUCUUCUUUCUUUUUUUCCUGAAAUAUAACUAGUUUUUGAUUUGUUCUAUCCUCUUCAAUAUUUUACUAAAUACGGUGUUUGUUAUAUCUUCACUAAAACAAAUAGAACGAAAUCAACGUUGUGGUGAAUGCCUAAGACCCAUGAGUCAACCUCUUCCUCUUGUUUUUCUCUUCUUUUAAUUGGUUGUGUUCUCAAUCUAAUGUUAUUUUUCCUUUUGGAGUUCCAAGUGGCAAGUGUCUUAUUUUAUUCCAGGGAUUACUAUUUGCCCCUGGUUGUAGUUACAAUGAUAUCUAAUGAAAACUUUUGACUUAUCCAAAAAAGAAGCCUUUGCAUUACUCCUGUUUGUUCUGUGAGCUGUUAUGCGUGAGAGAAAUUGUAAUGAGCUCUUGUUGUGCCUCCUGUUCUACAUAAAUCUAUGAUAGACCAACCUAUCUUAAACCAAUUUCUUUUCCUGAAUUUAAUUUUCCAUUAGCUUCUUUGCCGUCAUAGUUUUUUUGUGUGUUCUUUUUUUUUUUGGGGUUUAAUCAUCUGUGUCUGUAACCCGCAAGGUCAACUAAUUUGGAUUUGUGCCAUAGAAAACCCACUAUGAGGUUUUAGCGCUCCCUACCAAGAGAGGACUCUAUUCCCAGGGCUAGAACUCGAGAACUCCGACUAAGGAUCAAGGUACCUUUACCAUUCCACCACACCCUUUGAUGGUUUCUUUGCCGCCAUAGUUAAUAGUGCAUUCCUAUGUUUGAAGUUCAUUCUCUUUGUUCAUUUCUUUCCUUCUUUUAUGACGAUAUUCCUUAUAAACAUGGUUCACUAUCCUCCUGCUAUCCCGGUUAAUUUACAAAAUAUCGGUCUCUUGCCCUUUCCUUGUCUGAUUCCCAUGAGAGGCCUACAAAGUUCCUUGUUAGUCUGUAGACCUUUAAGAUCUGAAAUGACCAACCCUUCUCCUUCAUGUCUAAUGCUGAUAAAUACAAGAAACAUUGUGAAAAAGAAAAGUAAAGGAAACAAAAAAGAUUCAAAUAAAAAGAAGAGGAAAAGGAAAGACUGAAAUCUUCUUGAUGGAUUGAUCUCUUAUGCUAACUUACUGCAUAUAGCUUUUAGAUAUAAAGCAAAUGAAAGAAACCUGAAUCAACAACCUGGAUUGCAGUUUGUUUAUGAAAUGAGCUUUAUUAUAGCAGCCAAUUUAUGUCUAUGAAGUAUGACAUGAUUUUAGUUGUUUACGGUUAGCCUGUCUGUUACACCAACGUUAUGUAGCUUAAAAUAAAGGCUCCAAAAUCUGUUGCUGCUGUUGCAAAUUUACACUAGUAUAUCAUUAUAAGACUCUAUAUCUAAAAGAAAUAAAGCAAUCAGUCCUGCAACCCUGCCAUUAGCUUCAGCAAGUAUGGCAUUUAUGUGUCUUUUCGGUUGCACUUGUCUAUUCGUUUUUUAACUUCCUUUUGUUGUGUUAUAUAGGGUUUUCAUCCUUCAUCUCAUUGAUGUUGUUUAUGUCAAUGUCGGAAUGAUACUGGAUGACGAAGGGUGACCAUUCUGAUUGCUGUUUGGAUAACAUGCUCUCGUUUAGUCAAUGAGAAUGCGUGCUUUAGUUAAAAUGUUUCAUAUUGGCUUGUAUAACAUGAAGUAUGACGAAGGGGUGCACUUUGAUCCUUAGGCUUGAGAGUAUCGAUGCGACAGUUUCUGCAAUUUCAUUUGAUAUAUCUAUGUUACUAUUUAGUUUUAUUGUUCUUCUUACUUUAGAAAUGAUAGAGGAACAAAAAAGAAAAACAGUUGACGCUGGUUUUAUUUUCAAGAAUGGAAACAGGUUAUGCUUCAGCCAAACCAUCUUUAAGUGCGCUGAGCUUUCCCUGGCAAUUUAAAUGUGGAAACUGUUAUUAUGCAAAAGUUGACAACUUGUUUUCAGAAGUGAACUUCCUUCAUUUCCAUUGCAAACUUCAACUCAAUCAGCGUAAGAUACUAGUCAGAGUUGGUUCAUCUGGGCGUUACCAAGGGGUGAGGUUACAAUAGGAUUGCAUCAUGGUCAAGUAUAAACAGCGAUGGGCGUUUGUUUUUUUCUUGGUUGGCCCGUAAAAUGGUUUUCUUAUUUAGCUUUUCUGAGUAGCAACUCAUGUUUAACUCAUAGGAACACAGAGUCAAUCUCUCUGAACUUUGCUGCUUGAUUCAAAUUGAAUUUGGGUACGGUAUGGCAAACAUCUACCCGAAGUUUGGGCAGAUAAAUAUGAGUUUUGCUAACUAGUCAACAUCAUUUUCCGUUCUAUUUGUUCCUUGUGUUGAAUCUGAGCUGUAGUUCUCCAUUCUUAAGCUUUUGCCCCGAUUUUGGAAGGGUUCUUUUAGUCAAUAGGAGCACUUACUUUUCUCUUUCCGGACCUCAUCACUUCAAUUCAAGAGCUAAGUAAUUUCCUAAUUACUGGGCUGAGCACAUCCGUUUGGGAUUACUGCACCUCGAGCUAAUGAUAUAGCAAUCUGAAUCCUCUUCACUAAAAAAUUAUACAUGUAUAUAUAAAUGAAUUCUUAUAUAAAUUGUUCUAUCCUAUUAAUAGAAAAGAGCCAUUUUUUGGACUCCCUUAACGAAAUUUGUGCCCCUGCCUGUUCCUACCAUUAGAUCUGCUAUUUCGGGUAUGCUAAAACUUUGAAGGGAUACAGAUGAAUACUAAAGUUUAAAAUAGAGUUUGUCUUUUUCUCUCUUUUAAGUUUUACACAAGAAAGUGCAUCCGGCGUCUUGAUAAUAAAGUGCCACUGAGACUUAAAGUAAGUUCUACAAAGUGGUUGUUAGACCAAUUAUGUUGUAUGGGUGUGUGAAGUCUUGGCCAAUUAAGAUCUCUCAUGUACAGAAGAUGGAAGUAGCGGAAAUUAGAAUGAUAAGAUGGAUAUAUUGGCAUACUAGGAGAGAUAUGAUUAAGAAUGAAGAUAUUCGAGAUAAGGUGAGAGUGACCUCUGUGGUAGACAAAAUGUGAGAAGCACGAUUGAGAUGGUUCGGGUAUGUGAGGAAGAGAGACAUAGAUGCUCCAGUAAAGAGGUGUGAGAGGCUAGCUACGGUCGGGCCAAGGAGAGGUAGACGCAAGCCGAAGUAGUAUUGGGGAGAGGUUAUUAGGUAGGACUUGACAUAUCUCCAGCUUGUUGGGGACAUGACCCUUGAUAGAAGGGUGUGGAGAUUGAAAAUUAGGGUAGUAGAUUAGACAAUCAUCAAGCAUAAUUCUUUUUCGUACCUGAAUUGCUUUUCUAUACCUGUAGUACUAGUGUAUUAAGGAGAGCUGAUUAGACAGGACAUGACACAUCUUAAGCUUGGUGAGGACACGACACUUGAUAGGAGGACGUGGAGAUUGAAGAUUAGGGUAGUAGAUUAGACAAUCAUCCAGCAUAAUUCUUUUUCGUACCUGUAUUGUUUUUCUAUACUUGUAGUACUAGUGUAUUCUCAGAUUUUCAUUUCUUAAAUUUCUAAUACUAUAUGAUAUUUCUUUUGCUUCAGUUAUCUUUUUUCUGAUUGUGUUUAUUGUUUCUCUUUACGUGGAUUCUCAUUUGUUAUUUUUUCUUAUCCUAUUUGCAGUGAUUAUGCGUUUCUUGAGUUGGGGGUCUAUUAUAAAUAAUCUCUCUAGCUUUUUAAAGUGGGGAUAAGGUCUGCGUACGCACUACCCUCCCCGGACCCAAUUUAUUGAAACUACACUUGAUAUGUUAUCGUUGCUGUACUUUAACAAGAAUGUGAAUGUGGUACUAGUAAGAAGCCAUUUCUUUUGGCUUCUUCUUCAACUCAGUUUCUUCCCCCGGCCCAAAUUAUUUAAUUUAGUGUUUUUUCCUUUUAAUAAGUUGUGUUUCACAUAAUAAAAAAUAAAACAUCAAUUUUCUGUUUCUAAAUUACCCUGGACUGUUCAUGCUUCGAACAUGAAAAAUACAAAUCACUAUACUCUUUAUACUUAUCAACUUAGAAAGAUACAAAUUUAAUUAAGGUAAUGUACUCAAAAUCCAUCUUAAUUUCUAAGAUGUAGUUUUUAAGAGAUGUACAAAAAAGAAAAAAACAUCAAAUAAUAUGAAUCAGAGGGAGUAUAAUUUUAUUACUAUAACAAAUUUAGCUUUUGAUGUAUUCGACACGAAAGUGAAACAAAUGAUCUAGCUUGCGUUUAUAUAUCUGAUUGAAAUUUGAAAAAAUGAGUUUCUGAAGAUGAGAUGAAAAAUAAUUUUGAAAUUUGAAAUUGUGUUUGGACAUGCAUUUUAAACGAAUAGGUUAUCAAACAAAUAGGUAUUUGAACAAAUAGGUUAUCAAAAUUGGUUAAAAUAUAUAAACAAAUAGGUAUUUGAAAACAAAAUUUUAAAAAAAGAGAAAGGUAGUGUGCCGUAGCAUCUUAUCAAACGGGACAAAGUUUUUCGUAUAUACUCUUCAAUGUUAUUUAGCAAUGGCCUACUUGCUAUAAAAAACGUUUUGUUUUUCGAUAUUAUUCACAGAGACAGACGAAUAGAGAGAAAAGGUGAAAAUGGCAGGAGGAGAGGAAGAAGCAAGUGAUAUUAAGGAAGUACAUCGUCACUGGCUAAUUUCCUAAAGAAUCAGACAUGGACGUUAGGAUUACGAUCACGCCCAACUCUAGUCCUAAAAAGGAUAAACAAUCGCUGCAAAUAUAAUCCGGUUUAAAUUUCGGAGUCAAAUUUCACAGAGAACUAAGGUUUAGCUAUAUCUAUUUAAUAUCACUAAAAAGACAAGUUUGAACAAUUUUCUAAAGUUUAAAGAUUGAGAUUUAUAUUUCUAACUAAUUAACUAGCAAAUACUAAAAAGCGGUAAAAUUAUCAACUAACGAGACUAAAGGUUGGAGACUAAAUUAAGGAGGUCUAGAGUUGUGAUUUCCCCAAUUGUCGGAAUCCUUCCACUUAUGUUCCCUACAAUUUCGCCUAUGUAUUCUCUACUGAUCGCGAGCACUUUAUGUGCCGUAAUUCUCUCUCGAACAACUACAACAAUUUACUAGACAUAUUCUCUCAAACUACGCUAGUUGGCUUCAUCUAACCGCUCAUUAUGACCACGUCAAGGCUUUGUUAUUUCUAAACCUACCUUUAAACCCGUUGUAUUGAUUUCUCACAUACAUUAGAAGUGGCGUUGUUCAACAACCACCUAAAUAUGUAUCCUUUCUCAAGCAACACAUAAUAAAUAGGCACAGUCAAUCGAUGGCCAUUCAAUCAAUAAUAAUAAACACGUAGUUGAACAAGUAGAGAAAUCCAACGGCUCAAUUAUAUAAAAACAUAACAAGAUUUUAUCCUACAAAAGGUUCCAUCAAAACUCUAGAUAACAAAUUAGCUAUUCAUAAUAAUAUGUAAAACUACAAUACUAAAAGUCAUAACCAACAAUGAAAAAAAUUGGAAGAGGAAGGAAAAACUCGUAGAAGAAUUUCCCGCCUUGCUCCUAUUGUGUCUCUGCCUCUUUAGGUCGAAUUUGUGUCAAAAGUAUGUUCAACCCCCUCAAAAUACCGUUUUUCCAUGUAUAUAUACCAAGUAGGGUCGGGCCCAAACAAUUAUACCUUCUCCUACGGGAAGAAAAAUAAUAUUUCAGGUCUGGAGGCUCGCGGUCGCGGUAUUUUCCCAGUGCACUGCCUCAGUCCGCGUUCAGGCCCGACCACGUUUUUCACCCUGUUCCGUUUGGAAUUUAGAAAAACGUAAAACUUGAAAGUUGUAUCCCUUUGAGUUAGCUUUCCAACCAUAUAUUAUAUAGCCCAAAUGGAGUUCGGAGCAAAUAGUUAUGUCUAUUUUACUAGACAGUGCGCAAUAUGCCUAAUCGAGUCUUCAUUUGUUCUUAACUAUCAAAUUUGACCCCCGAACACGAUCCCGGCUUAAUUCCUUGGGCUUUUGCUCAGACUUCAAAGCUCCAAAUCACUAGAAUUCAUUCCAUAACAUCUAUAUAGCUCGGAAUCACUCCUACAAGGCAUAAAAUACAACAUUAGUGCAAAACACUAGCGAUUAAAACUCAAACUCAAUUAAAGUGCAGUAAAUUAUAGAGUAAUAAGCGACUAAAAAGCCUAUCAUCAGACUAUCACCACUAAACUGAACGUUCCAAAAGGUGAAGAAUAUAUACUUGUACAUGAGAAAUCGCAUGGGAGCGCAGUUACAUCGAAUCCUUCACUCCUAGCCAUGUAAUUACUGGAUGGGAAGAAUACAGUAUUAUUGCAGCUGCCGACACUCUUACUAAAAGUAAAAAGUAUAGAAUUUCCAAUUUCCUAGAGUCUUAGGUAAGUGAAUCCACCAUGGAAUUGAAUCUGUUUCUCCUCUUCUUUUAUAGGAUUGACUGCUUAUAUAUGUUGGUUUCUUCUCCAAAGAAAGGAGAGAGUUUUUGUUUCAGCUAUGUUGUUGGAAGUGCUGGAACCAAACAAAAGCUUUGUAAGCUACAGUAGCCUGCUGUUUUUAUUUUGUGCAGCAUUACUUAUAAGCAGAGAAUAGGGAAGGAAAAGAGUAAGAAGACCGUAAUCCUGAGCAAAAUGAUCUGUCAAUAUUUUAUUGCAUACAUGGUUUUCAAGUAACAAAUCACGUUAUAACAGUCUCAAUUUUGUGCCUGUCAUAUUUGGAGUUCCAGCUGUUUUAUAGAAUUUGGAAGUCUGACGAAAAAACUGCAAGUUAUGUAUAAAUUUAUUCCCAUAUGAAAAUUAAUUAGUUGUCCAGUUUUUUAGAGACUGCUGCCUACAAAUUCAGUUUCUUAUAUGUCAAGAAACAAUGGAACUUAGACUCAUUUGUAGAAAUUGGGGUUCGACGAGGCUUUCAACAAUAAAUGUAAAAUAAGACUGCGUAAAUAAACCCAAUAAGAUUUGGCUCUUCCCGAGAUUUUGAGUUUCGCGCAUCUAAUUACCCUUUUACUCUUGAUACUACCAGGUGGAACGUCAUUAAACCAUAUAGGAUCUGUUCCAUCGGCUCAUACCAUAUAGUAUUGGCCAAUCAAAAUAGGGCAUGAAUAACAACCAUGACCGUUGGCUCGUGCAGCCAUAUGGGAUCCUUCUCUGGCCCACUCAAAGGUUUGAGAGUCUUGUGACAAUAUAACAGACUCAACCUUUUAUGUCGAAUGGUGAAAUUUCACCUAAUAAAAUCGCCUCCUAGAUUAAUUAUAGUGGUAUUUCCAAUUACAUACUCAUACCUUUGGAUUAUUUAAAAGCUAAAUUAUUGAAAAAAUAGCACGGGCUAGCCAGUUUUCGGAUUGGUCAUUAAAAAAUAGCCAGCAUUUGCAAAGUCAUUGAAAAAUAACCACUAUUUUGUUGCAACACGGAAAGUUCCAGCAUAAUAUACUGAAAAUCGGUGUACCUAUAUAUGGACUUCCAGCAUAUUAUGCUAGAACUCCAACUCGCGGAAAGUUCCAGUAUAUUAUGUUGGACCGGUAUAGUAUACUAGGACUCCAGUAUAAAUAUACUGGAGUUCUAGUCUACUUAUGCUAGAACUUCAGUAUAUUAUAUUGGAAUUCCAGUAUAUUAUACCGGAGUAUUUUUUGGAUUUUGAACAGUGUUUUCAUUCAAAUUUAUCUUUACAUAAAAAACAGCUAAAUUUUGAUUACUUUUAAAACUGUGGCUAAAUCACCACUUGUAAAUCUGACUAUUUUUGAAUUUCUCUCUAUUUCACUUGAGCAGCAACAAAAAUUGUUAAUAAUUUAUCUUUAGCCUUUUCUUUUAAUAAAUAUUACUACAAUUUUUUUGCCUUUUUAUUUCAACUUUUCUUUCUUUUCCUUAUCCUUUUCUCUCUCCUCUUUCAACACCAUUGCUAGCGCCUGCUCCACCAAUGUUUCACCACUUAAUCAGACUUAAACAAACAGAAGUCUGAACCCAAACCCAAAUAUGUCUAAAAAAAACUCCAUUACUGGUGGAAAGAAAUUCCAUUAAAGGAAUGAAAAAGAAAGAAAAUAGAAUUAGAAAAAGAAAGAAGAUAGUGAUUAGGAAAGAAGAAGCUAAUCUGGCUUCUGUUAUUUGGAUGACAACAUAAGCAUAUGCUGCAAAGGGAAUGAAAAAGAAAAAAGAAAAAAGAGCAAAAAUGUAACAUUUCGUGUGCAAAUCACCACCAAACAUAGAUUUUGGUAUGACUUUUCAAGGGGGCAUAUAUUCUACUUCCAAAAAGUCCAAGGAGGUAAUAGGACACCUGUGAAAAAUUGGUGCGUAGUUCAAACUUCAAAAUAUGACUACAGCCUGGGAGGAUCUAUGCCUUUUUCCAUAAAUAAAAGGAAAAAGAACAACUGCACGUAGACAUACAAUCUAGAUGUUUUAUAUCACUUUCAGAUUUAAAAACCAAAAAUGCUAGUCAUAUUUUGCUUGUAAUUCAGAUGACGAUGUCAAUCAUUUUCAGUGAAGCUUAUUGAAGAACCAUCUCUGCUAAAGACUAAAGGUGAAAAGAAAAGAGCUGAAUGGUCUAGGUCCGUCCUUGUUCAUAGAAUGGUCUAAAUGUACCCUAUUCAUUUUAAUAAACUUGCAACUACCUAAAGCUAAAAGCAUGCAAACUUGACUUGAAAGCCGCAGCGUCACAGCUGGGGCACGAGACCAUCUCCGUAUCAAGCAACUUGAUUCAGCCAUCCAUGUUCACACACAUUCCGCAAAGAGCAGGCAUUUUCCUUAGGUUCGGGGACUUUAGACUUACAAAGGGUAUGAAUAUCCUCGCAAGUACUUCGAAUCCACACCUGAUUCACGUACCAGCGCCAGACGUCCUGUUCGCGCUACCUGUUGGAUGUAUAUCAGGACAGAAAGCUUAGCCUCCAAAAACACAACAAGGAAAUUGCAAAUGAAAAUUAGAGGUUUCAUGUGGGGCCGAUGAACAUAGAGCUUUUGGGAAAUAUACAGAAACUUUGGUAGUACGAUAUGCACCUUUUUAGCCACUGUAUGAACUUGGUCAUUAUUAGUCAUUUGGUGGGCUAAAUAAGGAAACACAACAUCAUCUGUUUCCCUAUGGGUUGUGGAUCUGAAAGUUACUUAUCAGUAUAGCAUUAAACUCCAUUUAUUUUAUUUCCGGUUUGCAAGCGAAUAGUUUUAUCCUCUAUAUAGCCAUAUGGUGGCCAAAUUAUCUCUCACAUCCCUUUCUCCCCUUCUCAUGUUUCCCACUUCAAAUCUCCUCCUUUUGUCCCUUUCAGGUGUUUACUCAAUGUCUAACGACCUUAUUUUUGCUCAAUUUAAUGCCAAAAUUUCAUUCUUAAUAGGUGAUGUUAAAAAUCUCGUGAAGAAAAAUUUACAGAUUAUAUAAUACAUUUAGGUCAAUGGCGCCUCUUCACAAAGGUUCAAUUCUUAUUGCCUUCACUUCAUGAACUGAAUCAUAAGCUGGAAUCCUUACGUUGAUCCCAGUUCCCUUAAAUCUCAUGAACCAAACAAAUGAGUGAUACACUCUAGUAAAAACCAGUUAUUGCAGUGACCCUUAUCCCUUUGUAUCACAAUUCCCUUUACAUCACAAUCCCUGUACUUACCAGCUCAUUUUGUGCAAGCUGCACUGCAUAUUAUGGAUAAUAAUUUUGAUAUUGAAACAAUAUUAUUGCAGUAACUGACCUCACAAAUACCAUAAGGCUCUAGUAGCCGCUGCAAAGCAACCAUCUUAUGCAAAUCUCCUGUAAGCUGGAAAAAGCAAAGAAAGUAAUAGUUCAUUAUAAUGGCCAAGAGAAGCUUCAUCCAACAUUAGAUAAAAUUAAAGGUCCGCCUGGUUGGUUCAUAAACUGCAAUUGAAGUGCAUAAAGAGCUCUCAUCCAGGCUUUUUUCUUCUUCAGGACAAAGCUUAAGAGUGCUACUCUGUACAACAUAAAGAACCAAGAAACUGAUCCAUCAUCUUAUAUUAGAUCCACAAUACCCACGGUAGCUAGAGGGAUCAAAUUGGAAAUGGUGAAAGAUUGCAUGUUCGUAAAAGCAAUAGUUGGUUCAUGUCAACUUUAUUGAAGUGCAAAACCUUAUAUAAGUGAUCAAGCAUCAGCCCUGAAUGAUGUAUACAUGUCCUGUAAACUAACAAGGUGGGAGUUGGAGGAUGAAGCAGGCACAUUUGAGAGACCAAAAUGAAAGAUCAGAAAUUUAAAAAAUACAAUGUUUCUUGCAUUAACCACUAGGCAUACCAUACACCCAUUACCAAAGACAAUCAAGUCCAGAGAGGACAAACUAAAAAUACUAGUGUAAACAAAUCUUUACCUCAAGAGUUAUAGUGUGGUCAGACACAUCAACAGCUUUUGCUCUGAAAAUGCUGGCAAUGUCAAGAACAUUGCGACGCGCUGCAGCAUUCACAGCAAUCUUUAUCAACAUUAGUUCUCUUUCCGCAAAUGGGUGGUGAGUAAUAUCCCGAACCUGAAAGGAUGCAAUAAAUCAAAACCGUUUAUCACUUUCUGCUCGUUUGCAUGCAAAUUAACAUCGCAAUCUUAGAUCGAUAGGAUAUCCUAACAAGUUAUUGCAUGGAGCUGGACACCAGUAUUGGGUUAAGACAGUAAUACGGAUUAUUUGGCUCUUGGCUUGGAAAACAAUUAUCUUUAUUUGUUUCGUUUUAGUUUGGACAACAAAUGUUUGGAUCUGGUUCUGGAAUUGAUUUCUUUUUUUUUUUUAAAAAAAGAUACAUAGGAUUAAGAAUUUUUAAAAAGUCUAGAAAAAAAUGCGCUUGCUCUUCUAAAAAAAUUAUAAGAAUCAGCUAUUGCAUUUUGACUAGAGGAAGUAGGUCCAGAUAAGAACCAAAAAAUAGUUUUCUGUUAUCGGAGAAACUACUUCAAACCAUAUUUGUUUUAAAAAUUAGACAAAUUGGUCCCUUGUUAGACAUGAAUAAUUUCAAAAUUAAGGGAUAUGACAUGAUAAGGUGCAUGCCACUGUAUUUCCACAUCCACCUUUUUGUUUAGCCCCAAUCACAUAAAAAGAAGUAGAAGGGGUAAAGGUCAUUCAAUUGAUAUAUUCUGAAGAUAAUAGUCAUUAAACAUCACAACGCAUAAAAUCACUCAGAAUACUGAAAGGAAUAACAUGCAUAUCAAAUCUAAAGCAUACACAUUAAGCUUAUAAUAUGAAUGAUUACAUAUACAUCAACUGUUAAAUAAAUCCAUGAGCAGUUCAAUACUUGAGGAACAAUUUCUGGAAGCCACACCAAAAAGAAGAAAAAGAAAAAGAAAACACUGCAGUGCUUAACCAGGUGAACAUAUUAAUCUAUAAAAUUCAUACUCAAUUUGGAAAACUGUUUUCCAAUAUUAAACAUAUUCUGUCACAAUUUUGUGGAAAAAAAAUGACCAAUAAAAAAUCACCAUUCUUACACCACCGCACUUCCCUGCCUCUCAGGAAAUUCUAUAGUGGACAGCCAUUUUUAAAUUGAAACAGUACAAAAUCUUCCAUCGGAUUGGAUGUUGUUGAGCAAGCGCUCAUGAUAGAUGACUACUUACCUCAUGAAUAUCAACCAACUUAUAUAGUUGCUGCACCAACUUGCUAACUGACUCAUCUGUGCCAGGAACAACUGUUGUAAUACGAGAAAGCCCCUCAACUUCAGCAUGUCCAACAGCUAAACUCUGGAGAGGAUAAUUCAAUACAUUUAAGUACAAAAAAAAACCCUACAAAUGAAAGACAAAAGGACGAGGAAACUUGGGUUCUGUUAAAAGAAGCGCAAAUAUUUGAACAUACUUGGAUGUUAUACCCUCGUCGAGCAAAAACUCCGGUGACUAUGUUGAGAACUCCAGGAGUGUCAUUCACAAGCAUUGACAAAGUAUGUGAGCGAAGCCCACUUGUCUGGAAGAAUUAAGCCAAGGGCUAACAUAAGCAUCACUUGUAAGCAGUUUUCAAUUUAAUGGACUAAUCGUCAAGACAUAAAAUUCAAGAAUGAAAAGGCUAGCAAAAGCUGUUCUCAAUCUGGAACAUCCUUAGAAUUUGCAGCAUAUUAUGGGCCAUUUCCCCAUGGAAAUUAUUCAAGCAAAUAUCAAGAAAAAGAAAACUGCGACAAAAUCUACAUCAAUAGAAAAUGCAAUCAGUGAGAAAUUAAGGAGGCAAAGCUGUAGUUUUUUUUUAAACAGUCAAAUACAAGUUGUACAGAUGACAUUUCAUAUACGGUGCUUAAAAUCUGAUCAACUUAUUUUAUCUUAGCCCCGUUGGGGUAAUAUUAAAACUUCCCCAGAUGCAUUUCAGGCCAUCCUAGUCUCAGUGGUGGCAAAGAUGAAGAGAUCAAAUCAUUCCUUCCUUUGGUUCUUUUAUUAUAGAGAGCAAAAGCAAUAAGCCAGCCAUAUACAAUACAAGGAAAAUGCAAUAUAACAAAAGGAUGUUCUUUGGUUUUCCAAGAAAUUCAACAAAGCAGGCAAAAUUUAGAUUUCAGACCAGCCCUCAUAAAUUGCACAAUUAAGUUCAUAUCUUUUACAGGCUAUAGAGAAACAAUCAUGUGAUUUAUUUGCAUCUAAUGUCAGGCAAGAUGGUCUAAUUCGAUCUACUCAGAUGACAGAUUCCCUGGAAAUACUGAAUAAAAAAGGAUGUAACGUCAAAACCUUCAUAAAUAUGAAAAAAAUAUUCAUCUAGAACGGAACAAAGGCACCUUUGAGUUACAGUUUACAAUUUCUUACAUCUUCAUCAUUGAGAACACCCCAGUGAGCAUCAAGAACUUGACUGACUCCAGAGUUGUCAUCUGUCUCAACAGGAUAGACAUCUCCCUUCGUUUGGCAAAAAGAAAGUGCAUCCAAAGUCAGAUAUUAAGGCUACUUUUUUGGUUUUGGGGGGGGGGGGGGGAAAGAAGUUAAAAGGUAAAGUCUCAAAUGACCUUGCNNNNNNNNNNNNNNNNNNNGGGAGAAAGAGUUUAAAAAGGUAAAUCUCAAAUGGACCUUGCUCAUAGAGGCCCAAUUAAAUGACCCCCUCCCCCCCCCAAUCCAUUAGUGAAUGACUAAUAAUAUUAUGCUCUAGCUGUUUUAAACCAUACAACUAGUUACAAAGAUGCAUUUUGUGAGUAUGCUUCCUGUAUAAGGGACCAUGAUGCACUAAAAAGUUACUUAUAGAAAAGGAAGUUACUAAGCUCCAACAAUUCACAAAAGUACACAUAAAUCAAACGGAUACAUUAAAUUCCUUUAAAAGUUAUUGAGCAUAUUAAGAUUCACAUCUUGCAAUCUUGACUAUUUCUUUUGUAAGCUUAUCAAAAAAUAAACUGAAUUCUAAUGAUUGAAAGAAAAUGAAUCAUAUAAUUUUUCAUCUCUGAGUAAAUUAUGAGUUGCUGACAAAUGACAAUUACCAACUAGCAAUUGCCUGUGUAUGAGGUAACUUGUAAGUUCAGGAAAGAAACAAAUUAUAUGUUGCUACAAAGAAACAGGCACAAUCCAUGUAACUUGCAUACCUCAGCCAUAGACAUAGAUUCUCCAUUAGGGGUCCUCUUGAUUGUCCUCGAAAUAGUACCAGCAGACAUUGCACCUUCAAGAUCUGGGUAUGAUGCUGCUGAAAACCGCCAAAAAGGAGCAGAUUCCCCCAUUUUUUCCCUUCUCAAGGCAAUCUAUGUUCAAAUCAAUCAUGUGACGGUGAUUACUUGAGACACAACUUUAAGAAGCAAAUCUAGAAAAGAAUAUGCAACUCAAAAAUUAUAUGAUUUCCUUUCAAGAUACCUUCCCAGUGCGAGCAAUUUCUCUAAUUCCAAAUUUACUUAAGUUCCUCUGAACAGCCACCAUCUUCCCUGGAUCUCCAGUUACCUGUUUAAAUGAUAAGCAUCAGAAAGACUGGAUCGACUUUGGGUUAAAUAUACUUUAACUGUUCAACCAUGUCAUGCAGGAAAGUUAAAUGCUACUCGCAACAACUAAAAGCAUGAGAAAACCACAAUUUGUCAGUUCUAAAGCGUGUUUAGCAAAAUACAACCUCAACGCUUAUUGAGACGACAAAUACAUGUGUACGGCGAAAUCGGGGGGACCAAUUUCUCGUUGAUAAAGUACUUUAGGAGAUCGCCUCGGAGGCUCGAGACCUCGAGCCGGGUACUUCCCUCAAGAUCUGUCGACACCCGGCCUGGGGAUAAUGUUGGCCGAGACCCCGACGAGCAUGGGAGGCUUCCGAAGAAUGCAUCCGGAGCCGGUUAAGUCUACCAGGGCAGUCUAACGCUGGUCUACGUCUACAUCAUGAAGCUAGUUAGCUGUCCCAUCCCGCUUCCUUUAUCAUUUAACGUACCUUGUACUAAGUUUGGAUUCCCCCCUCUUAUAAAAGGGGAAUCAUUGGCACUCUGUAAGCAGGUCGCUCCAACUAUUCUACAUCAGAUCAAUAAACAUCUCUCUCUUUUCUCUCUAACUUAUCGCUCGAGGCUACCUUCUUCAUUUAUUGCUUUCAUACUUGUUCUUUAUUUAUUGCUUGAUAUUGGCCAUAAAGAGCCUCCUUUUAAUUAUAUCCUAACUGUUAGUCCCUUCCCGGUUACCCCCGAUAGCUCGAGCUCGAGCCCAGGCAUUGACCUCGAGGCCCCUCAUCGGUCAGUCCGAGGCCCGGACGUCUAGCUCCUCGGUUUGAUUACAACCCCGUUUUAGUUCGUAUUUCAUCGUUAAGCUUCACGUAUCUAGCAUCAACUGCCUUAAAUACUAGCAUAAAAAUAGAUCACGUAUUUUUAGAGUCCCAUUAACAAAUUUAAUUGUUAUUACAACAGUUUGGCGCCUACCGUAGGACUAAAAAUAAUAGUGAUUAUUUUCUUGCUGGUUUCGUUACACAACGCAAGUUAUCUUUCACACUUUUUCUUGUCCAAGAUCUUCGAUUUCAGGUCAAAAUGUCUGGUUCGGUAAACAGAGUUGAGAACGACAACCUUGAAAACCACGGAGAAAAUGGUGUGGCUGUUCCAGUCGUUGGCGCGCCACCGCAGAACCCCGAUAACACACCUGGACCGAUUCCAGCGGACGCGGAUUCGCAAGACGCGCAGCAGGUCGACGAAACCUCACACACCGACAGGAGCAUACGACAUGGCGACCAACAGGAAGCCCAAAAGCCCCAGCUCGGGAAGAACACGAAGUUAGUCUUCAUGUUAUUUUCGAAAUGUUGCAGGCACAACAGUUGGCUAUCGCUCAGUUGCAAAGCCACCCCAAGGCUCCGAGCACAGCAACAGCGGAAACAGCUCCCCCAGCUGAACAGGUACCAUGGAGAUCAAGCAAUAACGGAUCGAUAGCCGACCCUGCCAUCGUAAAAAUGCUUGAGGAUCUCACCAAAAGGAUCGAAUAGGGCGAGAAAAUGAUAGCAGCCAACGACAAGAAGGUCGAGACCUACAACUCCAGAGUCGACCAGAUCCCAGGUGCACCCCCGGUCCUCAAGGGUGUGGAUUCGAAGAAGUUCAUACAAAGGCCGUUCCCCGAAGAAGCGGCCCCGAAACCCAUUCCAAAGAAGUUCAGAAUGUCGGAACUCCUUAAGUACAACGGGACCACAGACCCUAAUGAACAAGUUACUGCCUACACCGGCGCGGUAAAGGGAAACGAUAUAAAGAAUGACGAGAUCGAGUCCGUAUUGUUAAAAAAAUUCGGGGAAACACUCUCGAAGGGGGCCAUGAUGUGGUAUCACAACUUGGCUCCUAACUCCAUAGAUUCAUUCGCCAUGCUAGCAGACUCCUUCGUAAAGGCACAUGUCGGUGCCAUCAAGGUAGCGACGAGGAAGUCCGACGUUUUCAAAAUCAAGCAAAGGGAGAACGCGAUGCUGCGGGAAUUCAUGUCUCGCUUUCAGAUGGAACGGAUGGAGCUACCGCCAGUCUUCGACGACUGGGCAGUGCAGGCCUUCACUCAAGGUCUGAACGAAUGAAAUUCGGUGGCUUCAAAACAGCUCAAACAGAAUUUGAUCAAGUACCCGGCUGUGACCUGGUCAGACGUCCACAACCGGUACCAGUCGAAGAUCAGGGUCGAGGAUGACCAGUUGAGAGCCCCUUCGGGCUCAGUAUACCCGAACAGGCUCCUGGCAAAGGAACCAAAACCAAACAAAAAAAGGUAUCAGCCGUACAUCGAAGAUAGGAGGAACGCCCCGAGGCGCAACCUACCUCGCAAUGAUCGGAGAAUAGAUCGAGGACAGGAUCCUCGAGGGCUCACCAACAGAGCCAGAUUCGAUCGGAACGUAGUGCCAACGGGUGCGCCCCACUUGUUAGAAUACAACUUCAACGUCGAUGUGUCGGACAUCGUGUUCGCCAUCAGUAAAAUCAAAGACGCCAAGUGGCCCAAGCCUAUAUAGUCGGAUCCUUCGCAAAGGAAUUACAACUUAGUAUGCAAAUUUCACAACACGCACGACCACAGGACCGAGGAUUGUCAUCAGCUACGAGAAGAGGUAGAUCGGCUACUUAACAAAGGGCAUCUCCGGGAAUUCCUUAGCGAUCGAGCCAAAAAUCGGUUCCGGGAAAGGGAGGCGACCAAGAAGAACGAGGCAAACGAGCCACAACAUGUCAUCCACAUGAUCAUGGGGGGCGCCGAUGCCCCGCAGGAACCCGUAAUGAGAAGAACGAAAAUAACCAUCACCAGAGAAAAGCGGACCCGAGGAUAUAUUCCCGAGGGCGCCCUCACAUUCAGCGAAGAAGACACCGAGACCUUGUCUCAACCUCACAAUGAUGUGCUGGUAAUCUCCUUCCUUGUAAAUUCUUUUCAAAUAAAACGUGUACUCGUGGAUCCAGGUAGCUCGGCCAAUAUUGUCAAGUCGAGGGUGAUAGAGCAACUCGAAUUGCUCAACCAAUCGUGCCCGCCAAUCGAGUCCUCAAUGGAUUCAACAUGGCAAGUGAAACAACGAAAGGAGAAAUCGUCCUUCCGGUCACCGUGACCGGCACGACCCAAGACGCCAAAUUCCAUGUCAUCAAAGGAGACAUGAGGUAUAACGCCUUAUUCGGACGACCGUGGAUACAUUGCAUGAGAGCGGUACCGUCCACCCUUCACCAGAUGAUGAAAUUCCCAACAAAGGACGGAAUUAAAACCGUCUACGGGGAACAACAUGCGGCAAGAGAAAUGUUCGCGAUACACGACCUGGCACCAACGCUCGUACCUCCACCCUUGAAUAAGCCAAAGGGCGAUCGGGCCUCACCCUCGAUCAAACUUGACGAAAUGAGAUAAAGGACCAUACCGCGUCCUCACCUUGGGCGAUUGUAAUAAAUCAGCCCUCAUGACUGAAGCGUAUCAAUCCUCGAGGCGUCGCCGGCAUAUCUCACUUCAAGGUACGGCCAUCUCCCUUUUUUAUUUCGAAUUUCGGACUAACCCUUAUGCAGGCACUCGAUCGGAGCGGUCAGAACGCUAACAUUGCUCGAAGACCUUAGGGUUUUAAAAGCACCCAUUGCACUCUUUUCCUACGACCGAGUUUUUAUCCCAAAAAGAAGGGUUUUACCGACAAGGUUUUUAACGAGGCAACAUCUGCGUGCUACCUAAGGGAAACUCAACAAAUGCUCCAAACUUCUUUUGCAGUCAACUUUGAACGUUGGGGGGCAUUCCCCCGGGAAGCCACCCGCUCAGAAAAGUCAUGAAACGCCAAAUGGGGUCCCUGUAGGAAAGUAAUAUACCGGGCCAAACAUUCAAAUGAACCGUGUCUAUAUAGCCGGGCUCCCGUCGGCAAAUACGUGUACUAUUGUACCGAAUAAUCAAAGAAUAUCUUUCACCAAAAACAUCUCAUAAUCCGAAGAAAAUUCAGCAUGUUCACAGCAAGGAUCCCUCCAUCGAGUACGUCCCGAAAUACUCGGAGACUAGCGUCAACAAUUUGAUACCCGCAUGGCCUCAGGGUCGGGACUCCAUGCUCAUAAGCUCUCAAUGAGACAAUUCCGAGCUCACGAGUAACGGCCUUCGAGCCUAAGCAAACUCGAUGAUUCGGAGACUAUCGCCAAUAGCCAUUCGCGUAAAAACCCAAGGCCGUAAGACCCCAAGCGGGCAAACUCGGUCUAGCGAGAUCUAUUUAGCAUAACAACGAAAACUAUAAGAUCUCAACAUGCACGAAAAUACUGUAAGACUGAGGCAUGAAAAAACAUCAAGACCUCAAUAGACAUGAAAAUAUUAUAAGACCUCAACAGGCAUGAAAAUACUGUAAGACCUUAACAGGCGUGAAAAUACUGUAAGACCUCAAUAGACAUGAAAAAACUAUAAGACCUCAACAGUCAUGAAAAUUUUGUAAGACCUUACUACAGGCAUAAAACUCGAUCCCGAAAUUUAGGCUAUAUGUCGCAUUUGUAAGACUCCCGAAAGGGCAUACCCUCGAUGUAGACACCUAAACUACCACGCUCGGGAUCAUAAAUGGCUCCGGCCAAACACAAAUGACUACGGUCAAUACGGCUGCAUCAGCCAAAUUAACGCGACUCGGGGACGCCCGACCAUCGCUAUAAAAUCACAGGUCAUUACUUCGAAAAGAAUCGAUUAAAUAGGCUACCCUCGACAGGCAAACGAGCUUCGACCAUGUCAGCUCCAAAUCACAAGGCUUCGAGCUACUCAACCUAUAAGCUAAACCUUCCGAGGUGCUCGAACAUCGCCGCAAACGACUUGAAAUCGAGGUUCUUCCCGAACCGACGACGGGUCAGGCAAAAUUAUUUCAAAAAGUCCUUAACGAGAGGAAAACAAAGCCUACAUAUGCCUAAGGGCAAAAGCGUAAGAGUCAUUGUCGCCAGCCAAACGAGCCUCAGGGCCACAUACUAAAGGGUCGCAACGACCAAAAACGUAAGAGCAACUGUCGCCAGCUCAAAAUUUGAAAACUUGAGGGUCAAAUGAGCUUGAGUCGUAACCCGAUUCGGAGACCGAAUCCAAAAUAGUUAACUAUACAUGCCUAAGGGCAUAGCGUAAGAGCCAUUGUCGCCAGCCAAACGAGCCUCAGGGCCACACACUAAAAGGUUGCAGCGACCAAAAGCGUAAGAGCCACUGUUGCCAGCUUAAAAUUUGAAAACUUGAGGGUCAAAGUGAGCUCGAGUCGUAACCCGAUUCGAAGACUGGAUCCAAAAUAGUUAACUAUACAUGCCUAAGGGCAUAGCGUAAGAGCCAUUGUGGCCAGCCAAACGAGCCUCAAGGCCACACACUAAAAGGUCGCAACGACCGAAAGCGUAAGAGCCGAUGUCGCCAGCUUAAAAUUUGAAAACUUAAGGGUCAAAGUGAGUUCGAGACGCAACCCAACUCGGAGACUGAACCCAAAAUAGUUAAAAUAUAAAUGCCCAAGGGCAAGGCGUAAUAGCCAUUGUCGCCCGCCCGUGCAGACACAAAAGCUUGAGGGUCGACUAGGCUCGAGUCAAAACCCGACUCGGAGACUAAAUCCAAAACAGUUGAGCAAAGCAUAAGAGCUCCAACGCCAGCUUACACUAAAGGCCGCAUCAACCGAGCGCGUAAGAGCCUCCGGGCUUGCCUUAUGAGCUCCAGGGCCAUAUCACAAAUCUAAGAAUUCUCACCAACUCUGAAACCGGUCCGCCUGGCCGAGAGCAAAGCAGAAAGGGGUACAAAAGAAACAAAACCUCGAGUUCUUUGUUAUUUACAAAAAGGUGCAUUCCCCAUCUACAAACUCGAAGGCAUCGGGUAUCGCAUGUGAAGUGGCAAAGUCUACGCCCCGCCCCCGAGAGUUACGAGCUAUCAGCCUCGUCUUCAUUCUCCUCAACAUCCGGCAAGUGAUCGAGCAUCACGCUCGUCCGCCCUCGCUCGAGCCAGCCCUUCCGGAAGAACAAAACCCCUGGUGCCGAUCUCUUCAAGUACCCUUCUUCAGGACCUACAACGAACAUAUUCCUCGAUCCUCUCUUUACGAUGGAGGGCCCUCUUCAACUCGGCUUGGGCAUCAGUAGCGUCCUUCAAAUGAAUCGCCAUCUCCUGAUCAGCCUUAGUCCGGCUCAAUGCUGCUUCAGCCCGAGCAUCAACAAUCUCAGCCCCGACCUUCGAAAGUUCGAACUCGAGCUUCAUGAUCAUAUCCGCUUGAACUAAAGCGUUGUCACGAGCCAAGUGGAGUUGGGCCUCGAAGGCAGGAACUUUAGCCAAGGCACCCUUUUCUCUUUCGAAGCUUAGGCCUGCGCCUGAGCCCUUAGCUCGCCCCAGUCAUCCCUGAUUCGGUCGUCUUCACCUCUAAGGCGCUCCAGAGCCUCCGUCUUUUUCUACAACUGGGAUAGGCGAAAAGUUAACCCAAAAGGUUAAAAAGCGAAGUGCAUACCCGCUCAGGACGAGAAAUUACAUGCCCCAUCAAGUAGCUCUCGUAAUUCGAGCUCCGGUACGCCUCAUACCGCCAGUACAUCAACUCAACUUCCUUCUCCUCGCAAAGGAGCCUAAGGGACAUACCCUCAUCCAGGGCCUUCCAGAGCCUAGCUCCACAACGAAGCAGUCCGAACUCAGGCUUGUCGGAGGCCUACAGAAGAAAACUCAGUAAGAAGUAUAAGGUGAUAGCAAGAAAGGAAUAGCGCAAUGCUCACUAUGAUAUUUUGCUUCCCAUCUGUCCCAAGACAAAGCUCGCCACUCGCGCUCCUCGAAGGACGAGUGGGCCGCCAAAUCCUCGGGCCAAGCCUGGCAGGUCGAGAACGUCGCUCGACGCCCGUAGAACCAGUACAGAAGAAGGGAGGAAAACACAACAACUAAAUCCGCUCUCGCCAUAGGCAGAACUGGUAAAGCACGGGGCGCAUCACCUGAGAGUAUAGCUCCAUUCUCCAACAAAUAAUACGGGCUCCUAAGGUAUAAUGCCAGCAGUCAGCACCCCGGCAAAGCGACUUGUCCAUACCCAAUCUCUGUUGUCCUCAACGACAGCAACGAAGGGCGUAAUCAAUCGACACCGUGAAGUCAGCAGACCCAGAUGAACCCGAAGGCCGGGGGCGAAGCUCUCUCCUCCCUAUUGGAUAAACCCCGACAUAGCCGCCAUAGCGGUCGCAAAGUUGAAGAACUAAAAGGCAAAGAGAUGUACAGGCGUGUUAAUGCCAGAAUGCCGAAAACAUGGUGCAGAAAGAAAAUGGCAACUGCUUAAAACGGGGUAACCCCUAAGAAGGCGGAAACAACCUUAUUUUAUAUGUGGGAAAGGCGGCAAUGAUUCGCCUACCUCAAAGCCGGUCAAGAACGCUAGCCGAUAACAUCCUCUCCAGUCCCAAGGCAGUACCCGACCUCAAGGACCUCCGUCAAGGUAAGGCUACGCUCCAAGGGGCUACAACGCCGUCGCCAACACAAGGGUGGCACCCGGCUUCGAGAAUCUCCAUCAAAGGGAAUCAGGCUCUGAAGAAAUGAGCGUUUUUUGAACGUCACGCGUAUGGACCUAGAUCCGGGUGCCGUCCAAGGUCGGACAAACCCUCUUUCAGAAUCUAUCUACAGCACCAUAAGGCUAUUCACACUAAAACGCGCUUCCGGGUGGUCCGAGUGCGAGCAAGUCUUCGCUCGGAGACUGCUUUCAAGAGAUCAAAAGCAGCCCCCGCCCACGGAUCCCCGAGCAAAUUUCUUCUCAAAGGUUAUUACAGAACUCAAAUGGUAAGUCACGACUCCGAGGCCCAAAACAUUAUUCUCAUUUUUGCGCGAAGUCAGGGUCCCAGCGGCCCGAGUUUAUCGGCCUUAUUCAGGUUCAAUCCAAGGAAUCACAAAAAACCCCGCACGAAGCCGUUUUCAUCAACCGAAGGCCGGAAGGAAUACUCGCAUCCGGGUUCAGUAUUAGCAACAACAAACAGGAUCAUGCAUUCGGAGUCUCCGCAAACAUAAAGAAAUACGGCAAGUAUCAAAGACAGGAGUCAAGAAAAUAUCCUUAUAUUCAUAAAUGUUUGCUUAAGCUGGCCCUCGAGGGGUCCUUACAUAUGAUUACAAAAGCAAGGGGAUCCUUACACAGGAACAAAGAGGCGGAAGGGUGUGCAUACAACAAAAGCCUAAGAAUCUAGCCUAUUCCCAAAAGUGCGUCCUUAGUAGCGACAUCUUCGGUAUCAUCUCCUCGGGCGCGCGACCUCAAAGACAAUAUCUUCCAAGCCCAAUCCCCUCGGGAGUCUCGUCUCGACCCUCCCGGAAUGGCAUCUUCAAAAAGGAGGAUAUAGAAGAGGAAAGCGAUGGAGAAGAGCAAAGUGACGAAGGAAAAACCGAAAGGAGACAAGAAGCGGCUGGGUGAAAAAUUUGGCUAGUAUGAACUCAGCCAGUAUUACUAUAUAAAGCCACUUCUUGAGACGUUGCCUCGGCCUGGGAGGCGAUAGCUAGUAGAAAGUGCCGCCAUACCCCAAGGAAUCCAAAGGGGGUGUAAUACGCCAAGCCGAGGAAGGAGGGGGAGCAGCGGUGUAUAAUCCAAAUACUUCUUCGGGUCGGAGGAAAUCGGUCCUCUGCUUCAUCGCUCCGAGCUAGCGGAGACAACAACAACAAUAACAUCAAGGCAGCACAACUUCGUCCGACCAGAGAAGGUUCGGGAGACAGGCCGUAGCACGCAUGAUGUCGCCGUAAAAUCUUGAGGCCAUGGGCCUCAAACAUAGCUAAACAACACGGAAGAAAGAUAGCAAGAAAGGAGGAAAGGAUAGAUAUCGGAUGAUGCUUGGAUAAAAAACUGGUCAUAAAAAAGCCCCAUUUAUAGAAGGGAAGGGCAAAAUAGCCGACGACGCCAUUAUCGCCCUCGAAAAACGUAACGACAGGCGCAUUCAAUGCGUUCAUGGGAGCUGAAUCAACGGCAACAUUAUGACCCUGAUGAACGAGAAAUCACGACACGUCGAAUGGCCCUGAAAAAGCGAAACGGUGAAACGUUUCGGCACUGAUAAAGGGUUGCGUCAUCAACACGACGUCAUUAUGGGAGCCCACAGAGUGGAAUGUCAAAAUCGUUUCUUAUCGCUUCUCUCUGAGAAACGCGGAGACUAUUUGUGUACGGCGAAAUCGGGGGGACCAAUUUCUCGUUGAUAAAGUACUUUAGGAGAUCGCCUCGGAGGCUCGAGAUCUCGAGCCGGGUACUUCCCUCAAGAUCUGCCGACACCCGGCCUGGGGAUAAUGUUGGCCGAGACCCCGACGAGCAUGGGAGGCUUCCGAAGAAUGCAUCCGGAGCCGGUUAAGUCUACCAGGGCAGUCUAACGUUGGUCUACAUCUACAUCAUAAAGCUAGUUAGCUGUCCCAUCCUGCUUCCUUUAUCAUUUAACGUACCUUGUACCUUGUACUAAGUUUGGAUUCCCCUCUCUUAUAAAAGGGGAAUCAUUGGCACUCUGUAAGCAGGUCGCUCCAACUAUUCUACAUCAUCAGAUCAAUAAACAUCUCUCUCUCUUUUCUCUCUAACUUACUCGCUCGAGGCUACCUUCUUCAUUUAUUGUUUUCAUACUUGUUCUUCAUUUAUUGCUUGAUAUUGGCCAUAAAGAGCCUCCUUUUAAUUAUAUCCUAAUUGUUAGUCCCUUCCCGGUUACCCCCGAUAGCUCGAGCUCGAGCCCAGGCAUCGACCUCGAGGCCCCUCAUCGGUCAGUCCGAGGCCCAGACAUCUAGCUCCUCGAUUUGAUUACAACCCCGUUUUAGUUCGUAUUUCGUCGUUAAGCUUCACGUAUCUAGCAUCAACUGCCUUAACAACUAGCAUAAAAAUAGAUCACGUAUUUUUAGAGUCCCAUUAACAAAUUUAAUUGUUAUUACCAUUUUCACGGUAAACAAUAUGAUAUCUUGGUAAAACUGGAGGUAUUGCUGCAGUUUACUCAGCCAUGAGUAAACACCAUUGACAUACAUUGAUAAGCUAAAGAAAUUCAUUUGGGCAAAGGCAAAGGAGGAUUGCAUGUUUGGUAGAUUAGGUCAUGAUUUUUCUUUUUCCCAAAACUUAGUUUCGUCUUUCUCUUAUUUGGUACAAUAAUACUAUCUUGAGAUAUAAAAUAUACGACACAUUGUUUUUAUUACUAUCUUGGGAUAUAAGAUGUGCAAAAACAUUGUUUUCCACGAUUUGCGUUGAUAUUAGCCCUUUGUGCAUGUCCUGAUUUUCACCUCUUUUUGCAGCAGAGGUGAAAGUCUCCACACUUGUAGAAAUACGCGAUGCUUAGAGAAGCACUACUACCAACUUCAUCAAUGGAAAUACAUGAUUGACCAAAUGACCACUGCUGGAAUCAUAGUACAAGAUGUUGGAAAAGCAUAAGAGAAUCAAAGGACCCCACUGUGAUUUCUCCUAUAUGCCAAAGCCUUGAUGGCAGAAUUAACCAGUACAUGUACUGCGGAUCCGGGUACCAGGUGGAAUGGUCGAAGUGCAAACUAGCGUGGCGCAGAUAACACUACAACAACAACAUACCCAGUAUGAUCCCACAAGUGGAGUCUGGGGAGGGUGGGGUGUACUUCCAUCUUACCCCUACACAAGGUAGAGAGACUGUUUCCUAUAGACCUUCGGCUCAAAAAAAGCUGGCCCAGAUAUUAAUGUGAUAUUAAUGUUACUGGAAAAAGAAUCCAUUGGUAGAUAUGACAGGAGACUGACAUACGAUCUAAUAGUCAAUGUGAGAUGCUUUUUGCUUCAUAAGAAUGAAACUUACUGCUAUCAAAUGAAAAUCAGGUUCACAAAAAUUACCUUGAUCAUCAGAAACCAUUUGGAAAAAAAAAAGAAGGAAAAAGUCACAGCUCCGAGAUAUGAUCUAUUUGUUGAGAAUAGAUCAGAAAAUAAUCUUAUCUUAGAUGGAGUACAAGAUUUUAUCUGAUCUUACCCCGGUUUGUUUUCCCGAACGGUGAUUUUAUCUAGUUUUAUCUUUUAGUUAGAGAUCAAAUUUUAUCUACUAAUUUGAGGUACUCUUUUUCUUUAGUUACGAAUACAACUUUAUUUAUUCUAGGAGUUCUGACUAUUUACCAUUCCUACUCUAUAUAUAACACCCUUACAUACUUUCUUGGGAAUAGACUUGAAAAAUACUGAUGAAUUGAUAUUGGUAAAAUCUCCCUCACUAUUCUCUCUUAUUCUUAUUCUGUCUCUACUUUUUGUCUCUCUCACUCUUUUCUCUCUAUUUAUUUUUUCUCUUUUCUCUAAUUGUAUUCUCUCGUUGUUCCUAUUUUCUCCCUUCUCCCAUCUAGCCCGCAUUACAAACUCCAUAACAUUAUAGUUGUAUAAUUACCAAAUACCAGUGUUUGUAUCUAUGCAACAAAAAACAUGUCAGACAUUUGGCAUCCAAUUCACAAGCAUCGAGUUCAAGAAAAAAAAAAAGAUGGAUUCUGAUCUAUGUCAUCAAACCUCACCUCAAUAGUCAGAGAAUGAUCAGAUAUAUCCACAAUUUUUGCCCUGAAAACGUCCACCAACCACAUAACCUAGAAAUGAUCGAAAGAUUUGGACCCAUCAUAAAAUAAUAGUAAAAUGGUAAUACGGACAAUGUAACUCCAAUACUCCAAUAAGAACCUCUGUGCGGUAUUUUGGAUCGGCGCUGAUUUUAAUAAGCAUUAAUUCACGUUCAACUUGUGGAUCCUUGGAUAGAUCUUCAACCUGACCAUCAACUUUUACAGAUUAAAUCAAAAGUAUCAAACACAAAAAGAAAAGUAAAAAAGGAGCGGAAGGAAGAAAACCAUUACUGCGUGACCAGCUAAAGCUUGACAUUAUAAAGGCUCUUUGAGUAAUAAUUUAAGCUCUUUUAUCAAAUUCACUUAAACCCAGCUGAUUGAAUCAUGAAUUAGUUAAAAGUACUAAAGACCUUAUUUAUAACCAUAGCUGAGAUCAUUUGCAUGGUUUUGAGUAUCAAACAUAUUUUAGCUUUUGAACAUCAUUUUCAGAAAAAGGAGCAAUGGCAUGUCCAUUCAAUUGACACAAAUCUAUAGACCAGAAAAAAGGUUAUUCGAACAUUAAUGACAUCACUUUAAUUUGGACGCCACAUGAGAACAAUCCAGCAAACUAGUAAUUUAUCUAAUACUCAUUACCAAAAAGGUAGGUUUUGCUAAAUCAAAAAUUGGUAACACACCGUACUAUGACCUCAAUCAAAACAUACAAGGAAGAUGUUAAUUUGGUUGCAAGCUAACUGUAUGGAAACUACAAAUCCAAGAGAUUAACAUGAUUCACCAAACAAGCAGCUAUAAAUGCACAUUCAAUUCAUUACCCACAUAUUUUUUAAUUCUCAUGUUACAACUGAAGCACAUAAUAUUUUGUCGUGCAUCAAGCAACCCCUAAAUGGUUGACACUACUAUUUCUAGUGCGUAAAGAGGAACCAAGACCUGAGUGCUUAGUCUAACAGCUUAUAGAUUAAAAUACCAUAUGCAAACCAAAGUAAUCACCUUGAUCACAUUUACAAGCUUUUGUAACUGUUCCAUAACUUGCUGUAACACCCUUUCAGUUCCAGAAACAACUAUAGUAAAAAGAGCCUUGUCCUUGUUUAGACCAACAGCAAGAGACUCAAUGUUGUACCCUCUUCGAGCAAAGACUCCCGCAAUACGAUUGAUCAUUCCACUUUCAUCACCAACAAACACUUGAAUCGUAUGGCGCCUAGUCCUGUAAUCACAUCUCACAUGCAUUUACACCAGCAUAACUUCUUAAUACUUACACUCACUUUCAGCUUUUGAAAGACUUAUUUUCCCUCCAGUCCAUUUUGUGUGAUACCAUUUGACUGGAGUCUAAGACAUGAUUUAGACUUAGGUUUGUAUAAGUAAUAGUAGAAGAAAAUAUUAGACAAAUAACAAAAAAGAAAAAAUAUUAACAUUGAAAUCAUUGUAUGGAGGUUAAAUUUGAUUAAAUUAUUAGUACUUGUGAAAACAGUAGUUUAAAUAUCUAACAUCUUAAAACAAUUUUCAAAAAGAUUAUCAUAUAAGUUGAAAAUAGAAAAAUUUAACCACGAUUUUCUGUUUGUAGUUUCCAAUCGUUAUAACAGUUUUUUCUGCUCAGACAUUGACAAAUGCAAGCAAAAAAAAAUUACUUUUGUCUGAUGGAAGAGUCGAAAGUUGUGAGAGAGUUGUCUUCAUUUGCAAAUGUUCCAUCAGCUUUGGUGGCAGAAAUUACAACUGUUUUGGGGUUUGAAAGGAGAAAUUUUGGUUUCAAAGUUGGAAAUUGAACAACUUGGGAGAAACCCAAAUGGGGAAUAGAGGAAUAGAGAGAAAGGAAGGGUUUAUUUAGAGAGCUGUUGAAGGGAGUUGAAACAGCCGCCAUUAACAACAGAGUUUCGUUGAUUCUAAUUUAGAGAGGUUAGAGGAUGAAUCGUUUUCGUUGAUUCUAAUUUGGUGAAAAAUGAAAAGAUAAUUCCAAUUUAUUUAACUUCCCUUUGUUUAAUAGGUGGGGUCACAGUCAACUAUACUUUAAAGUUUAGGUUAAUAUUUAAUGUUUUUUUACGGGAAUUUCUUUUUUUUUUUUGAUGUUUUUUUUUGUUGGGAAAUAGCAAUUUUGAUCCUCGAGAUAUUGCUUUAUUCAGAAUUUAGUCCGUAGGCUAUCCAACUGAAUACAUUUGUCCUUCAAUUGAUUCAUGUGUGUGAUUUUGAUCCUUGAAACUAUUUAAAGUUUUAACAGAAUCAUAAUUUAUAUUUAUAUCUAUACCUAUAUAUUAGUAGAAUAUAUAUUUAUUGUAAAAACACGAAUGUCAAAACACAAAAUGUUGAGUAAACAGAAAUAUUUCAAGAAAUUUUAGCCAAUUUUUAUGCCCUUUGAGUUCUAAAUUAUGUCAUGCCACCAGGUCGUGAUGGCACCUAAUUUAAUCCUUUAGGUAAACCAACCAACAUAAAACACAACCCAAAUGGAAGAUCAUCAACUAAAAUGCGAAAUUUUAAUACAAACUACCCCAAGAACUGGUAUCACAAGUCAUGAGCAACUAAGAAUAGGAAUACAAUCCUGAUAUGAAGAAAAUACUUCAUCUGUUUGAAUAUACAUAAAUAGAAAUACAAGAUUUUAGGCUACUAUGAAUGAAUGACAACUAAUAACUGAAAUGUUGAUAUAUCUUCAAUGCUCACUUUUGAAUUCCAUAACAACUUAGCUCCAAAAUUUGCUCCCAAGGUGCAGAAGUAUAGUAUGAAUAUAACCGACGCCGUGUACUCAUGAAUAUCAAGGCUAACCUCAAGAAAGUAGUGGCUAUAUUUUGGUCAAAAGAUACUCACCUUAUACAAUUUGCACAGUUCAUAAGCAUAUACAAUAACAUAGAAAUAACCAAGAAAUGACAGAUAUCAAUAAUAAGGUACACAAUCAAAGAAAAAGAUAAUAAACAUGUUUUUUCAGAUAACAAGAUCAAAGAAUAAAGAAAUGCACCAGCUCUGCAUGUAAAGAAGAUAAGCAACAAGUAGCAUUGAUUUAAAUACUUCUACAAGAGUCUAGGAUGUCUAUGCAUGAUAAAGACUUAACCUUUACAUUAACUGAUACUUCCAAGUGUCCAACAUCUUGCUAAUAAGUUUCAUGCAUGUGUAUAAUGUAUAAAUAUGCAUAUGUAGAUGAUAUACAUGUAUAUUUCUACAUGAGUGUAGAAUGUCCAUGCAUGAUAAAGAAUCAAGCUUUACAACAAGCAACACCUCUCUGGUGUCUCAUAAUACUUUGCAUUUACGCCCUAAUGUAGCAUGGGUAAUUACGUGACUCUGAAGAGAUGAAUUGAAAUUUCAUGCACCCGAGCAUUAUAGCUCAAAAAUCAAUCAUCAAUAUUAUAGAAAUCAAUCAUCAAGCCGCACAAAAUAAAUCAUAGUGCCAUGACAUAACAACUAUACAGAAUAUCCCAUCGUGCCAACCUCAAUCCAUAUUAAAGAAUAUAUAUAUAUAUGAGAGAAGUAUAUGGGAUGCAUAUGGAUAUAGAGAUAAAAUGCAGAGAUGUAUGCAUAUAUAUGAUGUAUGACUCUGGCCACAAUAUGUAAUCGAACAUACAAGUUGCCCGUCACGUCCAAAUACGAUAUCAAAAGACUAGAUAUGGUCUUUAGCAUGAUGUAAAAAUACUUAUGUAGUCAUACAAAUAAGUAAAGCAUAUCACAACUAGAACAUGUACCAAUCAAGACAUAAAGAAGCCUAAAAUUUAUCCCAAAUAUGAUACAACCUUGGUAUUCGCAUAUACGUUUCUCAUCUCGUAUAUAUAUUAUCCCCAAGCACGUAGCAUGUAUCAUAUAAGUCCGUUCUUUGAAAAAAUUCCCUCAAGUCGAGAUUAAGAAAGAUACUUAUCUUUAUCCCAGGCUAGCUUUGUUCUCUAAAAUAUGUAUUUUCUAGAUGCAACUCUAUCCAAUGAGUCCGAUCUAGCCCAAAUAAUGUCAAGAAAGUCAAAUAUAGCUAUAAAAAUCAAUUUCAAAUGAUGAAGCUUCGAUCUUUAAUAAAAUCUUAACAGUCAACAAAAAGUCAACUCCGAACCCUUAUAGUCAAAACCAGUAACGAGAGUCAAAUCCCGAUGACUUAUAACAUUUCAUGAUCAAAUAUGUGAUUAGUUUUUAAAUUCGAGUCCAAAUCAGUAUUCAAAAUUCCAAAAUACACUUUCUUAUGUUUUGGACAAAAACUCCAAAUGCUCUUAUUUAAAUCUACAUUUUGAUGUUGAUCUAGUAAUAGAUUCAUGUAUAAACUAUAGAUCCAAGUUUGGAUUACACAACCUAAUGAAGUAGAUGACAAUUCUCUCAAAAGUCACUUUAAUCCGAGUUCCCUAGCUCCCAAAAUAAUAAAAUAGACUGAAUGACGACGAUGUUCGGUAACGCUUUUGUAGCUCCAAAGUUAUAAGUGUGGUGCACCACAUAUGGGUGGCCUUCGAACAUUCCUUAAAUUAUGCUAGGAACUGACUCAUAGGAAAAUGGUGAAUUUUGUGGAAUGUGUGUUCAAAUAGAAUUAAUGAGCAACCCAAAUGAUUUACGAAUUUUAUUAGUCUAGCAAAGCUGAAAAGCGGAUCCUUAACUUGCUUAUGAGUUUGAUGUCUCUCAUUAACGAUUUGCUCCAGUUUGUUGCUUAGAGAUGGUUCCAUAUUGGGAUGUUUUAUCUGCAAAGGUGGAAACAUAAAGAUGUAUGUCGGAUGCAGGUGUUAAGGCAAUGAUAUAACAAAUAAAGCAAAGAUAAAGGAAGGAAAGCCUAUGAGUGACGACUGGCUGGUUGGCAUGCCCUUCACUGAAAUUUACAGUCUCUAAGGUACAAAGGUUUUUUGAAUUAGUGGGCCUCCAGGCUGCGAAGGGCUUGUGUUAGUGGGCCUCCGGGAUGUAAAGAGAUGUGAAGUUAGUGAUCCUUCGGUCUGUGAAGGGCUUUGAGGUUAGUGGGACUUUAGACUACGAAGAGCUUUGAAGUUAAUGGGCCUCCAUGCUGCGAAGGGCUUUGAAGCUAAUGGGCUUGAGAGUUGCGAAGGGAUUUGAAGUUAGUGAACCUCCGGGCGGCUUUGAUGUCAGUGGGCCUUUAGGUUGCAGAGGGCUCGAUGUUAGUAUAAAAGUCCCUAUACAGUGUAAAGUAAAUAAAUCUAUGCAUCGAGUUUGUAAAUAACAACAAUAACGACCCAGUAUAAUCCCACAAGUGGGGCCUGGGGAGGGUAGUGUGUACGCAGACCUUACCUCUACCUCGAUGGGGUAGAGAGGCUAUUUCCGAUAGACCCUCGGCUCUAGAAGAUGAAAAGACGAAAAGAGACAAUAUAUCAGUACCAUCAACAAAAACCAUGGAAAUAAUAACAACAACACAAGAACCAGUGAAUAGAUGGAAAGCAGAAAUAAUAACUAGUAAAUAGGGUCUGACACUAUGAAAACGGAAGAGUAGUAUAAACACAACACUGACCACUAGCAGUCUAAGAUUAAAUUCUAUCUGCCUAGCCUCAUACUAGUAGACUAAAUAUGCUCAACUACCUCCUAACCUACAACCUUAAUGCUCGACCUCCACAACUUCCUAUUGAGUGCCAUGUCCUCGGAGAUCUGAAGCCUCGCUAUAUCGCGCCUGAUCACCUAUCCCCAAUACUUCUUAGGCCGCCCUCUACCUCUCCUCGUACCCACCAACGCCAACUGCUCGCACCUUCUUACCGGGGCAUCCAAGCUCCUUCUCUGUACGUGCCUGAACUAUCUGAGCCUCACUUCCCGCAUCUUGUUAUCAAUAGGAGCCACGCCCACCUUCUCCCGAAUAUCUUCAUUCCUAAUCUUAUCCAUCCUACUGUGCCCGAACAUCCACCUCAACAUCCUCAUUUCUGCUACUCUCAUGUUCUAGGUAUGUGAGUUCUUAACUGGCCAACACCCAGCCCCAUACAAUAUGGCCGGCCUAACCACCGCUCUAUAAAACUUACCUUUGAGUAGCGGAGGCAUUUUUUUGUCACAUAGGACUCCAUAUGUUAACCUCCAUUUCAUCCACCCCGCCCCUAUACGGCGUGUGACAUCCUCAUCGAUCUCCCCAUCCCCCUGGAUAAUCGACCCAAGUUACUUAAAACUGCCUCUAUUGGAAAUGACCUGUGAUCCAAGCCUUACGUCCUUGCCCGCUUCCCUCGGCUUGGCACUGAACUUGCACUUACGAUAUUUUGUCUUCGUCUUGCUCAACUUGAAACCUUAAACUCAAGGGCCUAUCUCCAAACCUCUAACCUCUCACUAACACCACUCCGCGUCUCGUCAAUCAGAACAAUGUCAUCAGGGAAUAACAUACACCAUGGCACCUCUCCUUGAACAUGGUGUGUCAGUGUGUCCAUCACCAGAGCAAACAAGAAUGGGCUGAGUGCAGAUCCUUGGUAUAACCCCAUAACAACCGGAAAAUGCUCAAAGUCGCCUCCCACUAUCCUAACCUGAGUCUUAGCUCCAUCAUACAUGUCCUUAAUCGCCCUAAUGUAUUCAACCGACACAUUUUUAGCCUCCAAGCUUCUCCAAAGAACCUCUCUAGGAGCCUUGUCAUACGCUUUCUCCAGAUCAAUAAACACCAUAUGCAAAUCCUUUUUCCUAUCCCUGUACUGUUCCACCAAUCUCCUAAUAAGGUGGAUAGCUUCCAAGUAGAAUGACCCGGCAUGAACUCGAGCUGGUUGUCUGAUAUAGACACCGUCCUCCUCACCCUCGCUUAUACCCUCUCCCAAAUGUUCAUGGUAUAACUCAAUAAUUUGAUACCCCUAUAGUUGUUGAAACUCUGGAUGUCACCUUUGUUCUUGUACAACAGAAUCACCGUACUCCAUCUCCACUUGUCCGGCAUCCUCUUCGUCCUAAAAAAAUAACAUUAAACAACCCAGUCAGCCACUCCAAACCUGCUCUACCCACACACCUCCAAAAUUCUAUCGGAAUCUCGUCAGGCCCGGUAGAUCUGCCCCUGCUCAUAUUACACAUAGCCCCCACGACCUCCCCAACCUUGAUGCACCUACAAUACCCAAAAUCGCGGUGGCUCUAGGAAUGCCCCAACUCUCCUAGCACAAUAUCCUGAUCCCCUUUCUUCAUUCAGAAGUUUAUGAAAGUAAGUCUGCCAUCUCCGCUUAAUCUAGGCCUCUCCCAUCAAUACUCUACCGUCCUCGUCUUUGAUGCACCUCACUUGGUUCAGAUCCCGAGCCUUCCUCUCUCUCGCCUUUGCCACCCAGAAUAAUUUCUUCUCCUCGCCUUUGGCCCCUAGUUCCUCGUACAAAUGACUAAAAGCUGCAGUCUUAGCCUCCGUGACCGCCAGUUUUGCCUCCUUCCUAGCUACUUUAUACCUCUCCAUGUUCGCACUCCUCUCUACCUCACAUGUGCUCCCUACUAACUCCAGGUACGCCGCCUUCUUUGCUUCCACUUUACCUUGGACCACUUCAUUCCACCACCAGCUGUGAGCACGUGAUUUUUGCCCUAUAUAUGAAUUAUUCCCAAAAAUUCAAACAAAAUGAUUUUUCUCUAUUUUUGCAAUUUUUGUGAAUUUUGGUGUUAUUUUUCUGAUAAUUGUUUGCAUUAAUUCAUAUGGAAAAUACAAAAAAUACGUAUUUGCAUUUAGGAUCCAAUUUCAUAUUUUAGGUUAAGUUGUUUUAGAACAAAUAUGAAAAAAUAACAAAAAUGGUUCACUUUUGCAUUUUUAUUGUUUUAAUUGUGAAUUCAUCACGAAAUAACUUUUAAACAAUUUUAGGCAUUAAUUUGUUUAAUUUUGAAAUAUAUUAGGACUUCAUUUUAAUUUUUAUUUUAAUUUUGCAUCUUUAUAAAAAAAAAAUCAAAUCAGAAAAAUAAUACAAAGUUACAAAGGAGAGGAGGGUCUUCUUAAUAAAAGACACCAUUUGGGCUUUUUAAUUCAAAAUCCCCUGACCCAAUUCAGCCCCUAUCCGCUUAACCCACACCCCAACUAGCCCCAACCUGACCCGUUCCCAAUUGACAAACAUGAAACGAACGGGCACCCUAAAUCCUAAUCUCCCAAGACACAGCCUCUGUUCUUCUUCUCCAAACCUUCCGAAUCCAACGAUAAUCAUGUCCAAAUCCAUGGCAAGUGAGCCUCAUAUCCACAACCCACACGUCCCUCUAUCUAUCCUCUUGUUGUUGCUAACGGAUUUUCUGAUGCCAAGAUUCGCUUUUGUUCACUCGCUAGAUUUUGAGAGAAGGCACGCGAUUGGAAGGUCCUAGAGGCGAUUCGUUGGAUGAAUGUGAGGCAUUGGAUUGAUUUCGUUCAAUCCGAGCCCCACAUUCAUCAGGGGUUCAUUUCAUAAAAGGACAUAAUCCGAUUUUUUUUGGGAGAGGGAUUUUGGGGGGAAGGAAAAAGUUCAGAGGUUCAAUUUCUAAUUUCUAUUUUGAUUUUCUGAUUCUUGGCGUUUGUUUGAUACAAAACCCUCGUUGUUUUGGAUUUUAUUUUAGUUUCAAUCCCAGAAAAUACAGAAAAUAUCCCAGAUUUCUAUUUUUCUUUGUUAGAGUAAAAACAAUUAAAAAAAAUAAAAAAGAGCUUCGAUUUCUUUGCAUAUCAUCUCUGGUUUAAUCGUGCUUGUGAUGGAGUUGGUUUACAAAUGGAGCUCGUUUGAGAAUUGUUGAGUUCGUCGCUGUCUAGACUUCUGAUUUCUGCUCGUCUUUGCUACUGAUUUGGAUGUGUUUCGAGCCUUCUGUUAUUUUACUGCUGAAAGUUUGGAGUCGAAACUGUGUAAUUGCCUUCGAUUCUGUUAUCAAAAGAAGUUCGAAAUUUCAGGUUCAAUCUUCAUCUCUCUGUUCUCGCGAUUCUAUUUCAUUUUAGUGCUUUGGACUAUAUGUUUCUGUCUCGAGUGCUCUGUUUGUGCUAGGAUCGAACCUCGUGUUGAAUGAAUUCAUUCUCAGUAGUAUGAUGUAUUUGAGUAUUUUUAGUUAGUAGAAAUCGAUUUGAAUAGUCGUCUUUCAUUACCUACAUGUCUUGACGGUUAUUCAAGCUUGAAGAAUAUUCUGAAUCAAGUGUCGUCGACUUUAAAUGAACAAUGUGCUCAUGUUUAUUCUGGUUCUGUUUAGUUUAGUUUACAUAUGAAUUGAACUCUGAAAUUGUCUGCCAUGCAGUACUGGUAUGAAUCUGAUCGUUUAACGAAUGCGUUUGAUUAAAGUCAGAUUCGAUUCUUGUUCGUUUGAGUUGAUGAAACACUUCGAUUGCUGUUAGAAUCAGUUUGAUUAACUAUUUGAUAAAGAAAUUUGUUAUUGUUCAAAUGAUCCAUAGUUUAGUAAUGUGUUCUCUUGAGCUUGUUGUAAAUGUUUGGAUCCAGUUUGUUCGUAUAAGCUCGAAACGAGUUCCAUAAGCCCUGUUUGAUAUGUCUACUUCCCUUCAUCCUGUCAUUCUGCCAGAAUAGGACUAUAUUCUCUAGUUUCUUCUUUUCAGUUUUAGGUUUUGUUGAUAUAUGCUACUGAUUUAGCUAAAGAUCAGCUUGAAUUCGUGGUAGUUUCGCGUUAAGGGAUUUUUUUAAUGAUUCAGGUCUAUUUGUUUCAAUUGUUUGGACUUAAAAUUUAAGUUUGAGGUUCAGUUGUGUGAGUUGUGCUCAUGUUUGAAGUUCAACUUCAAUGAUCAUACUAGCUAGGUGAAAUUAAGGGAAGAGGCGCGACUGAUUUCAGUUGUUUUGUCUUAGAGUCAGUUUUGUUGGUCUUCAUUUAGUGUAUUUCUCCAUUGGUUUUCAAGAAGAGUAGCAGAAUAGUGUUUAUUGUUUAAAGCUUUUGAUUUGUUUCGUUGAUUGAAGAAGAAGGUCCAUUGGUUGGUAAUUCUUUAGAAAUAAGGUCCUGUUAACCCUUUGUUAUUCCAUGGAUGUCCAGAUUCAUUAUUUCCUUUUUAUGCAAUUUGUCUUAAGUGAAAAUGAUUCAAAUAUAACCUAUAUGCAAUUUUGGUACAAUGAAUUGGUGAUCAGACAUUUAAGUGUUGAUAGAGGAGUCAUUUCCUAUAAUUAUUUUUUGGUCCUGGACCGCAAUUUGAGUCAUAGUUUUAUCAAGAUGGGGCCUGUCGCUAAUUGGGUUUCUCACAUAACCGAAUGCUGAUUUCAUUUUAUUUCUGUUAGUUAUUAAGGUCAGCUCAACUGUUCGUUUAGAUUGGACUCAAAUCACGCUAGGCCUUUAUCUAAUUAAUUGGACCUUUGAGUAGACUUGAGACGAGCCUCGCCCAAUAAACACAAUUGCGGGGCCCUCAACGAAUGGUUAUUAAAAUAGUUAAAAUUUGGGAGGGUUGUUUAGUGAAUUUCACGGCCUUCCCCAAAAUAAUAAUACGUUAGAAUCUUUAGGCACAAUUUAAUUAAAUUACUUUCUUAAAUUCGGGUGCGCAUUGAUGCGGCCCAAAUCCAAAUCUCGGCGAAGUCGAAAUGUGUCGACAACCACAGGUGCAUUGAUUGCGACGUGGUUCGAAACGCGUUUUCACGACGUCGCAAUUAUUUUAGAAUAAACAAUGAUAAAAAGCGGUUUACGAAUAAAAGGCACAUAAGCUAGCAUGUAUUAAAGUCAGAUAAAAUCAAAUGCAACAGUUAAGCGACCGUGCUAGAACCACGGAACCCGGGAAUGCCUAACACCUUCUCCCAGGUUAACAGAAUUCCUUACUCGGAUUUCUGGUUCGCAGACUAUAACAGAGUAAUAAAUUUCCUCGGUUCGGGAUUCAACCGGUGACUUGGGACACCAUUAAUAUCCCAAGUGGCGACUCUGAAUAAUUAAUAAUUAAAUCCCGUUCCGAUUGUCCUUUAAUUGGAAAAACUCCUUUACGCGCCCUUGCAGGGUGUAGUAAAAAAGAAGUAUGACACCAGUCGCCUUUGUACUCGCCAGCGUAACCCUUUGAGACUCCCAACACCUCUCUCGCUGCCUCCCAUAUAUAAUCCACCAUCGUUGACCACAUAUCACGUCCCCACUACUCUUCUAGGCUCCCACAGCCGAUAACCUCCCUUCCAACUCCUAAGCUUUAUCCUUAGUCAAGGGUUCCCACCUGAUCCUCGGUCGACCUUGUGUAGUCCUCUUCUUCCUCUUCAUCAAAAUACCGACGUCCAAUACCAAGAGCCUAUGCUGCAUCGCAAGGGUCUCACCCAGGAUAACCUUGCAAUCCUUACACAACCCUCUGUCGCACCUCCUAAGGAGAAUAUAGUCAAUCUUAGUCUUCACCACCGUACUCUGGAAAGUAACCAAAUGCUCUUCCCUCUUUGGAAAACUAGAGUUAGCAAUCACUAGCUCAAAUGCCUUUGCGAAAUCCAACAGCAAAGUACCUCCUGCGUUUCUAUCCCCAAAAUCGAAGCCCCAUGCACCUCGCCAUAGUCGCCUGCAGUCGACCCAAUAUGACCAUUGAAAUCCCCUCCUAUAGAUAACCUCUCAGCAGGCGGAAUACUACGCACAAUCUCAUCCAAUCCCUCCUAGAAGCGCCUCUUGACCUCCUCAUCCAAGCCCGCUUACGCUGCAUACACACUAAUGACAUUUAGGGUGCACUCUCCAACCACCAACUUAAUAGACAUUAACCUAUCAUUCACCCGCCUAACCUCUACCACAGACUCUCUAAGUUCCCUAUCCACCAAGAUGCGUACACUAUUCUUACCCUUUAGGACUUCAGAGUACCACAACUUAUACUCGUCCGCAUUCCUCGCCCUCGAUCCUACCCACCGAGUCUCUUGGACACACGCUAUAUUGACCUUCUUCUUCUGAAGGAUCUUCGCCAUCUCAAUAGACUUACCCGUCAAUAUACCUAUGUUCCAUGACCCAAUUCUCAACCUAUAGUCACCAUUGUGCCCCUUACCUCCCUUGCCUUCCGUCUCACCCCCUAACCCCUGCCCCACCCAUCGCCUUGUCCCCUGGCCUCCCCAAGGACAUGACCUUACUCUACUAUCCUAGACUACAGCCAUUAUACCUACAACAGACUAAGGAGAAUCACUCACACACACUAGGCAAACAAACUAGACUAGGAGAAAACAAGUUAAAGCUAAUGAAUGCUUAACACUAAUGCGAACUAAUGAGGUAGCGGUUUAACUACCACAAGGGGAAUGAGAAUAGGAAAGCGGGAGGUACCAACUCCCGGAAAUAUAACCUGGAAUUUGUCUUGGUGUACACGACGGUGUUGUGGCACUUGGCUCGUUCACGUUCCCAUAGGCUGUUUAAUACAGAAUUGAAGUCAUUAAGGUCACAUAGACACUCAAUCAAUACCAAUUAGAGAUACUUAGAAGCAUAAGAUAUGCCCAUAAAUUAACAACAUAUUAUGCAUUGGAAAUAACAUCUAUACACUAAUGACAAACAUUAUAAAUGAAAACAACUAAUAAAAGGUAGUAGGCAUGUUCAUGAUAUUUGAGUAAAACAGUCAAAAGAGAAAGGGUGGAGGUGUACUACCUCCUUUUGAGCAGCAAACCAAACAAAGUCUCUUUCUUAUCCAUAUAGAAUCAAGUACUCAAACUCCGACCAGUGUAAGGCUCAGAAUCAGAAAGAAAUUAGAAGCUAGUUAGAAAACCCUAGCUUGAUUUUUUACUAACCAAGACUAAAAUUGAUAUUUUCUUUGUUAGUUAAGUGAUUUCAUAAUGUAUCUCUAUUGUUAGGUGAGAGCAUUGAAGGCUCCUUUUUAUAGUGGAAUGCAAUUCCUCUAGGGCUCAACAAAUUUCAAAAUCGAUAAUGAAAGAAGACGAUGAGUUGAUGAUGUGGGCAAACUGAGUGACAUCAUAAAAGAAUAGAGGGGAGGAUUUUUACCUGAGAAGAGAGAAGGUUGACCGUUGAAGUCUUCAAAUUAGUGGUAAGACUCAAUGUCCAAAGGUAACUGCGUUUGACCUCUGGAAAAAGAAUAACGAUGAUGAAGCUGCAGAUAUCAACCAUACAUGCUCUGAUUUAAAAGAACAAAGGAAGAAAUCAGAUGAAUUGAAGUUUCAUCCUUUAGGUAUAGACUUUCAGAUCGAGAAUUUUGAAUUUAAAGAUAGAAAUGGAAAGUAAAUCUCAGGUUUCAUAUCCUAGGAACAAAGCGAAUAAUUUUUGAGUUUGGAUUUGAAAGAUCGAAGACGAGACAAUGUCUCGAUGCUUAGGUUGGGGUUUGGUGAUUCAGAUUUGAAGAACUAAAAGGGAAAGGUCAGCGGGAUUCUCAGAUAGAAGUAGGAAAGGAUGAUUUGGUGAGAGAUUUCAUGACCUUGCACAAAUUUUGUGCAAGGUCUAAUGAUUGACAUUCAUGAGAGAUUGAGAGGUGGCUGAAAGGGAUGUAAAUGAAUUAGGGUUAGGAGAUUUUGGGGAGUGCCAUAUCUGAAUUAAGAGUGAAAGAGUUGAUCUGGGCCGUUUAUCUUUUAGACUAACGGUCCAUAUAUUUAGGGAUUGAGCUGAUUUUUGUGGAAAAUUCGGUGGCCGUUGGAUAUUUGUUAUCCAAUAGUCAAGAUUAAAAAUUCUGGGCAUUUUAAAUUAAGGGGAAAAUAGAGUAAAAAAUCAUGGGCCGUUGAUCUAAGAAAUAGACUACCCAGAUUUGUUGUGUUAGUUUUGUGAGGGAGAGAGAUGGGUGAUGUGGCACGAUCUCUUGGUUCAAUGGGAAUGGAAUGGCUUGCCAAUGCGGAGAGGGAGGAAAUUGGACCUGGGUCAUUUUCAGAUUGGGCUUGUAUAUUGAGCUGGUUUAAUUUAAGAAAUGGUCAUUGUGUAAUUAAUUAAGGAAUUGCAAUUGUAGCCUUUUAGUUUUAACCCUUUUAAAAUUGACUUAAAUAAACUUAAUUAUUUUCAACAAAAUAUAGUAAAAUUGUAAAUAUCAAAUAUACUAUUAACUAAGUAAUUUUUUUUAGCAAAUAUACCACUAGGCUAGCUUCCUAGUGGUUAAUAUAUAAAUAUAAUCCCAAAAUGGGUCCAAACUUUACAAGAUGUCUAAGCAAAUGUAAAAAAAGUAAACUACUAAUAGCUAAUACUAUGAAUAAACAAUCUAUUACUAAUGAACUAGCUAUUACAAAAUAGCAGGAUGUAUGCUUCCAUCUCCAAGUAGUGUAAGUAAAUCCAAUAGCCAGGGGCAAAAACUAAGUAGCACCUCUAAUGCUCUCACCAGGCGCCAGAGUAUGCAUUCCAUUGAACAAUCCAAUGGACAAGGCUAAUGUUGAUUCUAGAUAAAUACACCACUGUAUAGAAGCAAUCCCAAACUUCCAAAUACGUAUGAUGAUCCAGCUUGAUCUCUUCCAUCUUGAUCUCCAUUUCACAGCAAAUAAGUCAUGUUUAAACUCAGUCAUGACACUUGUUGGGUAGUCUCUUAAACAUGUGCAUACAAAAGUAUAACACACCAACUGCUAGCUUAACAUCAUAGAGGUAUAUACUGCCUUCUCAUCUCCAGAAUGAGCAUAAAACCACAUUAAUACCACUGGAAAAUUAUAGAACAAUAUACCUCCUAUGAAGUCUAUAACUGUAUGCAAUAGUAGUCCUUGUGUCUUAGCAUAAAUGUCACUGUCUAGUCUAUAUCCGCAUAGUAUAUAAGCACACAUAGAAUGUGUAGUAAUGAAUGUCCUUCGUGCAUUAGCAUCAUUGUAUAAUAGAUAGUACGAAGCCCUAAUAGGAAAGUAGAUAUCAUCUUGUAAGUUUGCAUUUGAUCUAGUGACUUGCAUGUUGUCCUAACGGUUCUACACAGUGUAAAACUACCUCUAGACUGAGCAUGUUUCCAUGCUAAUACCGCUAGAAUGUAGCUGCACACUAUACAUAUAAGAGAAGAAGAAAGUGAAAUAACAAGAAUAGGUAGUGAACUUAGGGACUCCUUCAUCAAUCUGGUGCUUUUCUUUUGGCAAUCCUAAUCUUAAGGUUAGGAAUUUGAGCUUUUUCUAUGUUCACCAAUGUCUUUCCUUCAAUAGGUAGAUCCUAAAAAGAGUGAUAUGUGACUAUACCUGCAAAAGAAAACCAGGUUAGCUAAAAAAUGUGCAACUGCAUUGCCCUCCCUUAGCACAUGCUAAAAGAGUACAUUGUAGUUGCUCUUGAUCUCCUUUAUCUUCCUUACUUCCGGCCUUAUACACCAAGGAGAUUCUUAUUCCCCACUAAUGAUAUUCCUCAUCACCAAAGAAUCAGUCUCUAUAAUAAGAGGAUGCAACCUCUUUUCCACACAAUAUACCAGCCCUUCUAAUAUUGCCUUAGCUUCUGCCACUAUAUUUGUUGUUUCCCCUAUCACCUCAGCCUUGGCAUGUACCACAUUACCAGCAUAAUCUCUCACACAAAAUCCAUAGGAACUAGGUCUAGGAUUGCCUCUAGAUGCAACAUCAUUGUUGCAUUUGAACCACCCUUCAUAAGAGAGCUGCCAUGUUACUCUCUUGGUUACAAUAUAUAGCUUGUAACCAUCAAAGAAUCUGAUCAUAUCUGGCCAUAAGAGAAGAAUGUUUGGGAGCCAUGGAUACCUUACUCUUGCUAGAUAAUGUAAUGUCUUGUUCACCUCAUGAAAUACCCUAUUGCAAGACAUUGAACCUCCAUACUUCAUAGUGUUUCUCCUCUUCCAAAUUUCCCAUGUAAUGACUAUUGGAGUUGCCUGAAAAAAUGGCUUAAGUUUGGGGCAGCAUGGUGCAUUCCACCAUGCCCUUAUUACUUGAUGAACCUGCACUUUAGUUGUACGAGAAAAAUUUGGUAAAGGAGAAAUGGUGAUAAUCUUGGGAAAGUGGUAGAUCCGUCAUUUGCCCCAAUGUGGUCCCAACAUUUCCUUGCUUCCUAUUGACCCUGCAUUCAAAGAAAAAUUCUUAGUGGGGGCGAGGGGUUGGUUUGUGUUGACCACAAUGUUGGUUUUGCCCCGGACCUUGAUAUGGCUGUGCCACGAAGUUCAGUAGGUGGAACAAAUUACUAUAUUUUAGAAAACAUUUUGAAAAUUUUGUGUUAAGACAAAGGUCGUCGUUCCGGAUUAUGACUGUUUAUAAGUGUGGCAUGCAACACACCUAUAAAUAAGACUUUACUAGAUACGACUUAUACAUAUCCCAAGGACAAACCUGCUUUGAUACCAACUUUGUCACGAUCCAAAUCGGAGGGCUAUGACGGGCACCCGGGCCUUACUUUCUGAGAACCAACAUGUACCUCAAUAACCACACCAUCACGCAAAAAUGGGCCGGAAGGGACAUCAUGAAACAAUCUGAAUAAAACAUAAGGGAACACUCAACAUAGAACAACCCAAAGUGAUAUACAAACUUAUACAUGUGACAUACAGUUCUAUAAGGCCGACAUGGCCAUUUGUACACUCAAAACAUAAGCCGACAACGCCAAACAAGCAUCCAUAUACAUGACAUCUAUCUAUAAGCCUCUAAGAGUACAUAAACGUUGUCACACCCCAAGCUCAGGGAGCAUGACCUGUACUCAACCGAGUAAACCCGGCUAAGCAAGCAUGUUAGACACUUUCUACCCAACUCACUUACGAUCAAGAGAAGGCAUGUUUUCAUUAAUUAAAUAAUAGGAAGAUCAUAUAUACAUUACUAAGUCAUUUAGUUAGUAACAUUAUUGUUAAGUUUCAAAAUAUACACAUCCAUAUGAUUGAGUGGAACAAGAGUCCAAAACACAACAUAGCACGUUUGGCAUUUCUAACAACCAUAUACAACCCACAUAGUGUCUACGGAGCCUUUAAAGAUACAAAAGAGAGUUAUAAUAAUGCCGGAAACAAGGCCCUACCUAUACCCCAAAAUGUGGUAAAAGUAUGAAUAAAAGAUACAGUACAUGACCCCGGGAUGAAAUGGGGCUCACCAAGUCUGCUGGGAAGAGGAUGCACCAGUAGCUGCGAUCGACACUAUCUGUUAUGGAACCACCUACAUCCAUUUAAAAAUGUAGCGCCCCCAACAAAAGCGAUGUUAGUACUGUCGAAUAGCACAAGUAUGUAAAGCUAAAAUACUAUCUAAAUAGAAUGAACAAUAAUACAAAGGGGAAAAUUGUCAUGAGUUCAAUAAGAGCUUCAAACAAUACUAAAAUAUCAAGUAAGGAUCACAUAAGUUCUCAAGUCAAUUUCCGUCUUAUUAGGUUGGGUAAUCUUUUGUGCCAUGUGCCAUGUGCCACAAUCCACAAUAUCACCAUAUUCUUACACGAAGUCCGAUCUCGACCCGAUCGACUAGGUCAUCUUAUUUGAGACAUCAAUCACAUCCACAAUUUCCAUCAAUCAUUUCCAGCAUAGUUACCACCAUGUAUGCGGCAUGGCGUCCAAUCACGACCUGAUCGACUAUGCCAUCUCAAUUGAGACAUCAACCAUUCAAUCAAUUAUCUCACUUUAUAUUUCUUUCCCAUCUUUCAAUACAUUGGCACGAGAGGCCUCAUUUAUUACGUCAUUCUUGGCACUUGGUCGUAUUUCAUAAUUCAAGUUUACCUUUUUACACAUUCAAAUAACAUUAUCAUCAGAAACAAUAGGGCCUAUCAUGUAAGGCAUUUGUACACAUAAGGGAAAAACUUGGAAAAUCCAAAGCACAUAGAGCCUUUUCAUACAAAUUGGAAUAACAACCUUUAUUCAAUUUUUUGAUAUGAAAUCUUAACAUUUCUUAACACAUAUUCACAUUUUUUUGAACACAUCCUAAAAAGGGCAAGAUGGCAUCAUAAGCAUUUAGAACAAAUAUUGAACAUAUAUCAUUUAACACAACAUACUAGGGAUGGUCAAUUCUAGUAUGAUCAAUUUGGGGAGUUACACCAACUACACGAACACCAGGGGUUUCGAUUCUAAGAAGAAGGGGAUUUAGCCAUAUAUACCUCGAUUGAGCUCCCUUAAGCUUUAAGAUGUUCCGGAAUAUUAGCAACCUCAAUCUAUUUUAAUAAUAUAGCAAAACGGAACCAAAAAUUAGGAAAACGAUCAUGAUUCUAGCUCAUUUGAACACUUUAUCAAACACUAUGUGUGUAUUAAUGUUUCAUGGCCCUUUUAUGAAAGACUACACCAACCCAAACCCCAUUCUUUUUCAUCUUUUACUCACAACCUCCCCUCAUACCUUAAGAAUACAUGAUUGCAAGGUAAGGACUCCCAUCCCCAUGAAUUACCUUACCAAUGACUUAUUCUAGUUACAUUUUUAAAUUAGGAGUUUGGGUGAUAGAACCUUACCUCUUGGGAAGAAGACCACGGUGCUUCUCUUGAUAAUUUUCAAGGUUUAAGCAAGAAUUGGAGAGAAUUUUUUUGAUGAAGAACACGUUCUCCCUCUAGAACUCUUUUUUCUCACUCUAAAGAUAUCAGAAAAUAUGCUCAAAAUGGUCUAAGGUGGGUGUUUUAACGGAAUAGGGUCGGGUUUUAAAAUUAGAAAAUAGGAGCCCUGACACAGAUCUGCGGUAGCAUAAUGCUUCUGCGGUCCGCAAAUAGGCCGUAUAACCCUUAGGAACUGGCAUUUUCUGCUUUAGUCUGCGACCAAUAUGCGGUCCGCAGACCUGUUCUAUCAUCGCAUAAUGCACCGCAGAACAUCCCUCAAGGAAUUUCUAUGUGGGGAUUUGUGAUGGGUUAUGCGGUUCGUAAAAGGAUUAUGCGACCGCAUAAUGUACCGCAUAUUUGGUCCAAAAAUUAGCUCAAAUCUCUCCUUCACUCUGCGGUAGAUCUGAUAGUCCGUAGAUCAGUUCUGCGGUUGCAGAAUUGGUCGCACAAAAUGCCCUGAACUUCUAAAAAUUUCUUCAGCUCACCAAUACACUGCUCAGCCUAAAAUUUCCGUACGCGGCAAUCUCUACAAUCUUUAACACAUAAGCCUAACUCGGCACCACAAAAUUUCGGGUUUUAGGUACAAAUUUACGGGCCUUACAUCCUCCCCCACUUAAGAUCAUUUGUCCUCGAAUGAGGGAUAACGUUCAUUAUUAGCAUCCGAUGCAACUCAAUGCCACACUACACACCAACUGUCACGACCCUAAAGGGACUCGGCCGUGGUAACGCCUAUUGUGAAACUAGGCCAGCCGACACAAACCCCCAAAACCAACCAAACAAUUAUAAUAAGUCAUUGAAAGACAUUAAUAAGCUAAAAUCCCAAAAUAUAAGGUAGAAUAGAACAGUACGGAAAAAAACACAGCCCGACAUCGGGGUAUUACCAGUCAUGAGCAACUACAACUCGUCUAGAAAUAUGAAAGGACAACAUAGUCUGAAUCAAACAAAUACAAAACGGAAUAAAGAUAGGAAGGAGAAGCACUAGGCUGCGAACGCCAAACAACUACCUAGUCAACUCCGAAAGCCUGCUAGAUGACAAAUCAGCACUCGCUAGCGUGAACCGAGGCUCCUGGAUCUACACACAGGGUGAAAGAAGUAAUGUGAGUAUGCCAACUCAGUAAGUAAUAAAAGUAAAGGCAGCUGAGCAAUAAGAAAACACGUAAACUACAGCAUAAUGCUACAACAAAAUAGUAUAAAUCCAGAACAAUGCAGUAAAGUAGUAAAACUCGUAGAAACAUCUCAGUUCAGUAAAAACCUUUUUAAAACAUCUUUUAGUAGUUCAAACGAGUUAUGAAAAUAGUGAGAAAAGGAUAGUAACAUAACUUAGCCCCUCGGGCAAAACAAGUACUACAACUGCCCCUCGGGCAAAAUACCAACAGAACCAGCCCCUCGGGCUACGUCACAAUCACUCGUAUCAGCCCUUUGGGCAAUAUCAUAUCUCACACUGGUACCCACGCUCACUGGGGGUGUACAGACUCUGAAGGGGCUCCUACAGCCCAAGCGUUAUAACAAGCCAUCUCGUGGCAUAAUCAAACUGACCCUCGACCUCAUAACAAGCUACCUCGUGGCGUAACAAAUCAGGCCCUCAGCCUCAUAAUCAUGAAUCAGUACAACACUACUAUGGCGCACAGCUCGAUCCCAUAAUAUCCUCACAACACAGGCCCUCGGCCUCACUCAGUCAGAAAUCUCUCAAGCCACUCGGGCAACAGUAAAACAUGAUGCUCAACCCAAAAUAUCAUUUAAACUAUCAAAACAGAGUAAAUAUAGUUGAGUUAUGAAAAAUAGUAGAAUACAACAUGACUGAGUACAAAUAUGAAGUCAAAACAGUGAGGAAUAGUAAUAAAAAUCCCCUAAGGGUCCAAAACAGUUGGCACGAGGCCCAAAUAUCGCAUUCAGCCCAAAACAUCGUAAUACUUUCUAAAACACAAUGAUAUCAAAUAAUUUUCAAUCAAAUAGGCGACUUAACAGUCAUACGGGAUGGACUAAGUCACAAUCCCCAACGGUGCACGACCCCACACUUAUAAUCUGGCAUGUGCGUCACCUCAAAGUAGCACAACGAUCUGAAAUCCGGGGUUUCAUACCUUCAGGAUAGCAUUUAUAAUCAUUACUUACCUCUAUCUGGUCCAAACUUUAGCCCGCGAUGCCUUUGCCUCUCGACUCGGCCUCCGGAUGCUCCAAAUCUAACCAAAAAUAGAUUUAUACCAUCAAAAUAUGCUAAGUGAACAAGGCCCACUCGAAAAUAACCAAUUUACAUCAAAAAUUCCGAACUUGGCCAAACCCGACCCCUGGACCUACAUUUCGGAUUUCAAUAAAAAUCACAAAACUAGAAUCCUUACACUCAUACGAGUUCAUACAUAUCUAAUACAUCAAAGUCCGACCAAAAACGCCCCCUCAAAUCCUCAAAUCAAAGUCUCAAAUUCCAAACCUUAACUCUCCAAUUUUAGGCUUUAGAUUCCAUAAUUUUUAUGUUUAAUUAGGUAUAAGUCACAAUAGGAUCGAGUAUUAAGUCCAUAAAUCUUACCUCCAAGUGUUUCCCUUUGAUUCCCUCUUCAAUCCUUCUCAAAAAGCUCCAAAAUCGCUCAAAAAUGGUGAAAGUUAGACCCAAAAUCGCGGACAAUGGCUAUUUAAACAUUCUGCCCAGGUGACCCUUUCCUUCUUCGCGAACGCGGUAAAAGCCUCACAUUCGCGAAGCACAAAAAUCGUUGACAACUUAAAUCCUUAUUCGAGAACGCGACCUCCUGAAUGCAAACGCGAAGCUUCAUCUUCUCAAACAAUCGCGAACGCGACCCCCUUAAUGCGAACACGAAGCACAAUUGACCAGGAUCCCCAGCUGCUCCCAUAUACUCUACGCGAAUGCGGUAAUCUCAUCGCGUUCGCGAUGAGCACUGAACCUAAGCCUUCACAAACACAGGAUCAACAUCACAAACAUGAAGGCUAAACUUCCAGCCUUACACCACAUCCCUUCGCGAACGCAAAAGCCCUCUCGCGAACGCGAAGGCCAAAAGAUUGCAACACCAACAAAUAGAUUUUCUGCAACUUCCCACAACAAUAUUUCAUCCGUUCGGUUACGCCCCGCAAUAUUACGUCGAUAUUACGUCCCGCAGUAUUAUAUUACGACGAUGUUAUGCUCUGCAGUAACAUACUACGAUGAUGUUACCCUCUGUAGUAAUAUAUUACGAUGGUGUUACGUCCUGCAAUAUUAUAUUACAAUGAUGUUAUGUCUUGCAGUAUUACAUUACGGUGAUGUCAUGCUUCACAGUAUUAAGUUACGACAGUGUUGCACUCAGCAGUAUUACAUUACAGUGAUGUUACGCUUCGCAGGCCCUGUAGAAUUGUACGUUGAAAUUGUCGUAAGGUAAUUGACAUCAGUCCAAGUAAAAGAUUAUUUGGAAAUUAUAAGGAUUAUGCUAUUUUACAAGUGAUGAGUAAAUUCGUGAAUGUGAAAGGGGAAGCAAGUAAAAAAAUAAAUUUUCGUCAAGGUUUGGCAUUUUGGUGUAAAAUACGACCCAAGCUAAAAUACCCGAUAUUUAUGGACUAGUGCCAUACAAGGUACUACAUGAUCAUCCUAGUAAGGUGUACAAGGUAUGUUAAAAGAGACUAGUAUUUUAAGUAAGUUGAGAAAAUUCAUAAUUAUACGGGUAAUUGGUUAAUUAUCGGGUAACGGGACAUUACCUAAUUAGUUGGGGAUAUAUUGGAUAGGGAUUACAAAGGAUUAUGUGGCAGCACCAACUUCACAUUAAGUGACUCAUACAUUUGGUUGAAAGGUGGCAAAAUUAUGCAAAAUGAGUCACUAGGCAACCUUUAUCUUGCUUACACAUAAUUAUUGCUUGGUGUCUUUAUUAAAAGAGUAUAAGACCUUGCAAAAAAAAAAUCAGCAAAACCACAUUUAUAUACCAUUACAAAGAGAUAACAAGGAUCAAAACGUGAAAACUCCCUUGAACCAUAAAAUGUCCAAAUGUGAAACUCUCUUAAAUGGUACCAUGUCCAAAAGUAAGAAUUCUCUGAAAUGCUAUAAGGUCCAACAUGAAAUGCCAAUUCAAAGAAAGCCUGGUGCAACCUUUUACAAGAAUAUCAUACGGAUUUUUUCCUACUCCAGGUAUGUUAAGGCUAUUCCUUUUUUCUUUUGGCAUAAUCCAUACGAUACAAACGAAACGUGCAAAUGCAUAAAUUCCAUGAAUGGCUCUAUCCAUAGAAGUAUUAGAGAUAUCUGUGUUCUUGAAUUUCCAUGCGUCAUAAUAUUUUAUCAUCUGUUCAUGGGUCUUAGAAAAAUACGAAAGUUGAAAAGAGUCUACUUUAUGAUAUUACUCAAAGGAAAAAUGGUCUUAUGACAUUUCGAGAUUUUAUUAACGUACUUUUCAUGCAUUGCAUUCAUGUACAUUAACCCGAGACCAGAUGGCGUUAUAUAUGCAUAUAUAUGUAUGUAUAUAUAUGUAUACGGGAUAUGUGAAAGGUUAUGGCGUUAUAUACGCACCACCACCUGAUCCGCUGGUAUACAUUGAUGAUUUUGCCCACAGUGGCCGAUAUGAUAUGAUGAGAUACCCUCAGAGGCUGAUGAUGCGAUGAGACAUGUACCUAUGCACGACAUGACAUUCAUAUGCAUAUGCAUAUGCAUGACAUUAUAAAUAUUUCAUGAUUUACAAAGCUAUCCAGAUUUACAGGUUGAGUCAAUUACUCUAUAUUUCUUCCAUAUAUGUUAUGUGCUUAUUUAUGUACCUUACAUACUCAGUACAUCAUUCGUACUGACGUCCCUUUUUGCCUGGGGACGCUGCGUUUCAUGCCCGCAGGUCCCGAUAGAUAGGUCGAGAGCCCUCCAAGUAGGCUCAGCUCAUUGAAAGAUGUUGGAGCACUCCAUUUGCUUCGGAGUUGCUCGUUUGGUUAGUAUGAUUUAGACGUGUAUUGUUUGGCAUAACGGGUCUCUGUCCGGCCUUUAUGACAUUUAUGUACUCUUAGAGGCUUGUAGACAUAUGUUGUGUACGUGAAAGAUUGUACGACCUUGUCGGUCUAUGUUCAGAGUUUAUAAAUGAUUAUGUUGGCCUAUUAGGCCCGUAUGUCACGUGUAUAUGAUGAUGUAAUAAGAAAGAUGCGUUACGUUAGUACUCGGUCGAGUAAGGUACCGGGUGCCCGUCGUGGCCAAUCAGUUUGNNNNNNNNNNNNNNNNNNNNNNNNNUCAUUUGUAAGAACUCAAUUUCCUAAACUCUAUCUUACAUAUAGUACGACGAUAUUUACAUCUUGAAAGACGAUUGGUAAGAGAUAUAGCUGUGGAAGAGUUAAGUCGGAGGAACUCAGUUUUUGCAUCAUGCUUAUGAUGGAUAGAUAUGAGGUAUUCAGCAAAUCAUGUGUAUACUAAGAUAUGUAAGCUUCUUGAUAAGGAUCCCUAAGGCAAGCAUACCUAUCCACUCUUACGGUAAAAAGGAAUAAGGAGGGAGACACAAUUUUCAGCAAAUAAAAGAAGCAAGGUGAAGAAGGGUACGAGGUACCCAGUUAAUGAAGAUUAUCAGUAUUAUAGUUCCGGCAAAAGAAUAUAACCAUUGUGAGUUACCCUCAACAGUAAUAGAGGUAUGUAUAAUUGGCCACACCCAUCUCAGUUAUACCUAUUGAGGGAUAACAGGUGUAGAUUAAGAAAAGAAUGGGAUAUCGGGAUCCGACUGGGGUUAGAGUAACCCAAAAUGGUGAAUUGAUUGUUUGUGUUAGUUGACAUUUUCGAAGGAUAUUGCAAAUGUGCUAAUAGAUCUCCUUGUGAGACACAUAGAUGACGCACUCUAAAAUAGUACAGCUAGAUAUGAGUACUAUAAAGAUAGACACCGGAAACCUUUAAGGGAUAAAUAUUACCUUAGUAUGGCUAUGUUAGGCAACUCGAAGAGCCAGUAGAUGGAGCAAGGGAAGCUAAAAGCAAAAGAAUUUCUUGUUCGAGUUUCCAGAAUAAAGUGAUAGACAUAAAUGUUAGCUGGAAAUAAGAGAGAGUUAAUGAAGCGUUAUGAGUAAGAUGUGAUACAUGGAUGACAACAAUAGAUAAAAAAAGAUGAUAAUAUUACAGAGUUUGUAGUCAAGGGAAGGAAAAGAUGAGAAGUGAUAGGCCUUGAGAUGACAAAAGAGUAUAGGCCAUGUAGUCAUAUCCUCGUUUUGAGAUAUAAGUUCGUAACUCUAACGCGAUUGCCAAAAGGAAAAGUUAGAACCCAGAGUAAUAGAAAUCAAAAUGGACCGAUGAACAAGAUAAACUAAAGAUGAACUAGGGACUGAGUGAUUUGAUAAUAGUCGGCAUCAUGAGAAUUUCAGAUUUUGUUUCGGUAAUAAUAGAAUGGACAACAGAAGAAGAUUCAUGAGAAAUUCAUAGAAUGGUCAUUCAGGAAGACGUUUCCCUAAAGCAAGCAAUGUGAGUAAAGUUUAGCUUAAGGGAAUGUACGUGCCAGUUAUACUAAGUGUCACCCUCGUGAGUAAGGAAUUUUGUUAUCCUUGGUACAUAAGGAUUAUCGCAAGGCGAGUAAGGGUCAUCGAUGAUGUGAAGGGAUACCAAAGAUGAAGAGGAAAAACAUCUAUAGGCAGGUCAUCAUAGCUCCAAGUCUUAGUACUCCCCUAAAGGGGGGAAUAUGGAAUGAUAAAGAAAGAAUGAGAUAAAAAUAAGAAAGGGAUGAGAUUGCACCUAUCCAGAUGUUACAGAUAUGCUAUGAUUCCAGAACGUUAUGUAAGCACGACGUCAAGGAAAAAAAAGAGUAAGGGUGCCUGCCCGGGAUGUUAUUGAUAGAUAAGGAGCCAGUACGUGAGGUAAGUUAAGACAAAGGAAGUAACCCAAGAAAGAUUACGCGGAAUAUGGAUAUGAGAAUGGGCCGAUGAGUAGUUAGUAGUUGGUUCAGGAAGGGCCUAAUCAUGACUAGACAAGAAGUUACAAACAAAUCAGCAGAUCAUAGAAGAUAAAUGUCGUAAACCCCAACAUGGAGAAUUUAGUCUCGCAGUAAUGUCAUUAUAAUACUUGAGAUAUAUUCAAAUAGAAUUUGGGGUAGUUAAAGGUACCGUAUAAGUGUUACGGGGAUAAAAGAAAGUGCCACGGGAAAGGCAGUCAAAAUAUCAGUUCAGAAGCAACCCUACAAGAAUGAAGGGCGUGGAGAUAAGUAACUACUGAUAAGUGUAGGCAUGGAAGGACAUCAGAAGAUCCGUCGAGUAUACAAUGUAAUAGGCUCACAACUUUACAAGAGUCAGAGGGUCUUCCUUAAGUACUACGACGAAAGACUAGCUGAGGAAAUAAGGAAGAAGGCUUCAACUUAAGCACAACAACCUAAAAAGGAAAUGGUCGUGUAACAACAGUCUCACAACAACAUUAUAAGCACUCCACGGAAAGUGGCACCUACCGUGACUAAUGAAUGGGAAGUAAAAUUAAAAGUAAUAUCCGAGAUCAUAUGAGUUGCACGAAAACUCUGGCAUGUGUGGGAACUAAGAUAAGCUAAGUAUGGACGCAACAAGGGGGCAGAAAGACCAGGAAAAGUAAUAGAUUAUGUUGAAAGAAAGCUAAGAUGGAACAAAAGAAAUUAUUCGAUCAAUGAUCCAGAGUUGGUACGUUAUGAACGCACUUAAGGGUUCGGAGUUUUAUACAUGCAACAUAUACAGCCGUAGAAGAUUCUGGUAUACGUUAAAAGAAAAAAUUGAGCCCAAGUCAUAAACAAAGGAUUAAAUUGUCAAAGGAUUGUAUCAUGCAUAUUCCUCAGCGCCCAUGAAAGGAUAAACAAAAUAACUAAUACCAUGAACCGCAGAUCGAGAAAUAACUUAAGCUGACAUAAAGGCCGAUCAGAAGAAGGAGGAAACAAAAGAGUUACAUCAACGAAGUAAAUCAGAAAUCCGAUUAUUGGACCCAGAAGUUAUAGGAAUCAUUAUUGAGAACAUAGAAGAAUCACUCUUAAUAUUAGAGUUACAAGAGAGAUAGUGCAACAACCAUAUUCUAUAACGACUCUACGAUAAAACCAGUUAGAAGAGUACUAGCCUCAUAAGAAUUCAGUAUGAAGCUCCCACUGGAUUGUGUAUGCACCAAAGGUGCAAGUGUUAUAAUAAGGGCUUCAUGUUGUGGAUGUAAAUUGUACCUAUGUGGAAGGGAGGUCAUGAAAAAAAUAGAAGAUAUGAUGCGAGAUUUUAAGGCAAAGGUAAACAAUGUACGAGAUACUCAACUGCAGAAGGUUGUGAAUAGUCCAUACUUCGGAUAGAAGGCCAGAAACACGGGGAUUCAAUAUUCGGGAAUGAUAGCGGCAUCGUCAGUGGCAUAACUUAUAGCCUAUGGUUUCUAGGUAUCGAGAGGUCUAUUUAAGAAAGUAAAGAAGAGUUAGAGACGAUGUGAUGUCUCGCUUGAUGUUCUAAAAUAAUACAAGGAAAUUCAAGCAAGUUGAAGGAAGAUUACGCGUAGUAUAAAUAGAUAUGUAUAGGUCGCAAGCUAAAAGUAUAGUAAAGCGACAAAGUUUUAUGNNNNNNNNNNNNNNNNNNNNNNNNNNNNNNNNNNNNNNNNNNNNNNNNNNNNNNNNNNNNNNNNUUACGCGUAGUAUAAAUAGAUAUGUAUAGGUCGCAAGCUAAAGUAUAGUAAAGCGACAAAGUUUUAUGACAAGAUGUAAGAACGAGAAAAGGCAAGUGAGAAGGUGACGAGAAUGGAUAAGUCCUCGAGACUAAGCCCAUUAAAACAAAGGAGCUGAUGGUUCCUCUAAGUUAUAGAAAGUUCAGUAUAGCCUGAAAACUCAAAGGAGUCUGAGACUAAUAGCGUUUAAAAUAAAUGGAAUGUUACCCUGAUAGUAGAAUAAUGGUGUAAUUGUGGUAGAUAAAGGAUGAUGUUUGGGCCUUCGAUUGAGUAAUGACGUGAAGAGGAUUUCAUGAAUUAUGCAAAAUUAAAAUACCCAUGCAAGGUGAGUCAUAUUGGGAUGCUCUGAAAUACGAUUAUGGAAGUAUAAUAUCGUAUCGCCCCCAGGUGGACCAAGACAAUCACUUCAAAUGUUCCACGAUGGGACGUGAGCCCUAACGACAAUGUUACAUAAGAGAUCAAGUUAACCGUGAUAGAUGAUAGAUCAACAUUAAGGUGAAUCGACAAUGGAUGGACAAAAGUCACAAAGUAUGAGGUGAGAUGAGGCUGUCAUUCUUAAGAUGAGCAGUAAUGAAGAAGCAUUAAAGGAUAUAGAUUUAUACAUAUAGGAUAAUCAACGAGAGUAACUUGGAGAUUGGGCAGACCUCAGUAAUGAUAAAUCAAAGUAAGAGUUAUGGCAUUAAAGUCAUACGAAUGGAUGAACAUAUCUAUAAAAUAAGGUAUAACAAUAUUCGUAUGUUCAACAAAGUACCAAGCGAAGAACUUCAAUACACUUAUAGAUGCCCAGAGAGGCACCCUAUUAAGCCUUGUAUAUGUUUACAAAGUAAGGCCUAGAGAUUGGCUAAAAGUUGGAGGAAAAAGGAAAGAAGAGUCGCAUAAGGCACGCUUACAAAGUCAGAGUCAUACAGGCUGCAUGACAGGAGGUAGCAACAGUUAUGAGAUUGGAAAGAUUUCGACUGCAAGUCAUGGCGUGGGAAAGAGGCCUAAAGGGGGGAAUGCCCUGACCUUUGGAUUUAUUCACAGAACAGUCGCCUAGAUGGCAAGGGAAGUUCUAAAGUAUUCGGAAGAUAUAAGAUAUGAAAAUGAUAAGAGCAUUAGUCAAUAUUCGAGGACGAAUGUUCCAAAGGGGGAAUGAUGUUAUGCCCCGCAAUAUUACAUCGAUAUUACGUCCCGCAGUGUUAUAUUACGACGAUGUUAUGCUCUGCAAUAACAUAUUACGAUAAUGUUACCCUCUGUAGUAAUAUAUUAUGAUGGUGUUACGUGCUGCAGUAUUAUAUUACAAUGAUGUUAUGCCUUGCAGUAUUACAUUACGGUGAUGUCACGCUUCACAAUAUUAAGUUACGACAGUGUAGCAUCCAGCAGUAUUACAUUACAGUGAUGUUAAGCUUUGCAGUAUUAAGUUACGACGAUAUAACACCCUAUAGUAUUGUACGUUGAAAUUAUCGUAAGGUAAUUGACAUCAGUCCAAGUAAAAGAUUAUUUGUAAAUUAUAAGGAUUAUGCUAUUUUACAAGUGAUGAGUAAAUUCGUGAAGGUGAAAGGGGAAGCAAGUAAAAAAAAAUGAAUUUUCGUCAAAGUUUGACAUUUUGGGGUAAAAUAUGGCCUGAGCUAAAAUACCCGAUAUUUAUGGACUAGUGCCAUACAAUGUACUACAUGAUCAUCCUAGUAAGGUGUACAAGGUAUGUUAAAAGAGAGUAGUAUUUUAAGUAAGUUGAGAAAAUUCAUAAUUAUACGGGUAAUUGGUUAAUUACCGGAUAACGGGACAUUACCUAAUUAGUUGGGGAUAUAUUGGAUAGGGAUUACAAAGGAUUAUGUGGCAACACCAACUUCACAUUAAGUGACUCAUACAUUUGGUUGAAAGGUGGCAAAAUUAUGCAAAAUGAGUCACUAAGCAACCUUUAUCUUGCUUAUACAUAAUUAUUGCUUGGUGUCUUUAUUAAAAGAGUAUAAGACCUUGCAAAAAAAAUCAGCAAAACCACAUUUAUAUACCAUUACAAAGAGAUAACAAAGAUCAAAAUGUGAAAACUCCCUGGAACCAUAAAAUGUCCAAAUGUGAAACUCUCUUAAAUGAUACCAUGUCCAAAAGUAAGAAUUCUCUGAAAUGCUAUAAGGUCCAACAUGAAAUGCUAAUUAAAGAAAGCCCGGUACAACGUUUUCCAAGAAUAUCAUACGAAUUAUUCCAUACUCCAGGUAUGUUAAGGCUAUCCCUUCUUUCUUUUGGCAUGCUCCAUACGAUAUGAACAAAACAUGCAAAUGCACAAAUUCCAUGAAUGACUCUAUUCAUAGAAGUAUUAAAGAUAUCUGUGUUCUUGAAUUUCCAUGUGUCAUAAUAUUUUAUCAUCUGUUCAUGGGUCUUAGAAAAAUACGAAAGUUGAAAAGAGUUAACUUUAUGAUAUUACUCAAAGGAAAAAUGGUCUUAUAACAUUCCGAGAUUUUAUUAACGUACUUUUCAUGCAUUGCAUUCAUGUGCAUUAACCCGUGAUCAGAUGGCGUUAUAUACGCGUAUACAUGUAUGUAUAUAUAUGCAUAUGGAAUAUGGGAAAUGUUAUGGCGUUAUAUAUGCACCACCACCUGAUCAGCUGGUAUACGUUGAUGAUUUUGCCCACAGUGGCCGAUAUGAUAUGAUGGGAUGCCCUCAGAGGCUGAUGAUGUUAUGAGACAUGUACCUAUGCACCAAAUGAUAUUUAUAUGCAUAUGCAUGACAUUAUAAAUAUUUCAUGAUUUACAGAGCUAUCCAGAUUUAUAGGUUGAGUCAAUUACUCUAUAUUUCUUCCAUGUCUGUUAUGUGCUUAUUUAUGUACCUUACAUACUCAGUACAUCAUUCGUACUGACGUCCCUUUUGCCUGGGGAUGCCGCGUUUCAUGCCCGCAGGUCACGAUAGACAGGUCGAGAGCCCUCCAAGUAGGCUAUCAGCUCAGCGGAAGAUGUUGGUGUGCUCCAUUUGCUUCAGAGUUGCUCGUUUGGUUAGUAUGAUUUAGACGUGUAUUGUUUGGUAUGGCGGUACUCUGUCCCAGCCUUUAUAACAUUUAUGUACUCUUAGAGGCUUGUAGACAUAUGUCGUGUACGUGAAAGAUUGUACGGCCUUGUCGGCCUAUGUUCUGAGUUUAUAAAUGAUUAUGUUGGCCUAUUAGGCCCGUAUGUCACAUGUAUAUGAUGAUGUAGUAAGAAAGAUAUGUUACAUUGGUACUCGGUCGAGUAAGGUACCGGGUGCCCGUCGCGGACCAUCGAUUUGGGUCGUGACAUGUUCAACCACCCGAAAUUCACCCGAGGCCCACGAAACCUCAACCAAACAUGCCAACACAUCCUAUAACAUCAUUCAAACUUGUUCCAACUCUCAGAACUCUCAAAACAACAUCAAAACACCAAAUCAUCAUCAGAUUCAAGCCUAAGAAUUCCAAAAACUUCUAAAUUCCACUUUCGAUCAAAAAGUCUAUCAAACCUCAUCCGAAUGACCUGAAAUUUUUCACACACGUCAAAAAUGACACAACGGACCGACUUCAACUUCCAAAAUUCCAUUACGGCCCCUAUAUCAAAAUCUCCCCUAUCAACCGGAAAACGCCAAAAUUCUAAUUUCGCCAAUUCAAGCCUAAAUCUACUCCGAACCUCCAAAACACAUUCUGAUCAUGCUUCUAAGUCCCAAAUUAGCUCUUAAAGCUAUUUGAACCAUUGGAAUUCACAUCCAAGCUAUUUUUCACAUAUGUCAACAUCCGGUUGACUUUUUCAACCUAAGCUUACUUAAAAGAGACUAAGUGUCUCAUUCCUUUCCAAAACAUCUCCGAAUCCGAACCAACCAACCCGAUAUCACAUAAUACAGCUGAACAAGACAAUAAGAAGUAUAAAUGGGGAAACGGAGUGGUAACUCAUAAAAUGACCGGCCGAGUCAUUACACCAACAUUCCCAAAUUUUGACUAACUCCCAAAAUUUCCAAAAAUUUCGCUAGAGUUUCCUUUGUAACUAGACCUAUCCACUUGUCAGAUAGUCCCAGAAACAUAUCCUAGAAACAUGUAUAUGAUCCAAUGACAUAACAUAACACAAAAUGACACCAACUGUGGCCUCAUAAGCAACAUAUAACAAAAAAAGAACACCUUUACAUCAACAGAACAAGUGAUACAAAAUUUAUAAGAAGUAACUUCAUAGAAACUAUUACAUGGCUAUUCAAACAAAUGAGGGUACUUCUUUUUCAUUUCUUCCUCGGCUUUCCAAGUAGCCUCUUCAACCUGCUGGUUUCACCAUAGCACUUUUGUGGAGGCAAUGUCUUUAUUUCUUAACUUUCGGACUUGCCUAUCAAGAGUGGCAACUAGAAUUUCUUCUUAUCGCAGUUCUUCAUUAACCUCAAUGGUAUCAACUAGCGCAGUGGCUGAUGGAUCUCCUACUACCUUCUUCAACAUAGACACAUGGAAUACCGGGUGUACUAAUGACAUCUUGGGUGAUAUCUUAAGUUUGUAUGCCUCCUGGUCGAUCCACUAACUGAUUUUGUACGUCCCAACAUACUUCAGACCCAAUUUCCCUUUCUUUCCGAACUGUAUUAUACCCUUCAUGGGGGAAACAUUCAAGAAUACCCAAUCAUCUUCUCUGAACUCUAAAUCCCUUCGAGAAACAUCCGAAUAGGACUUUUCACGACUCUGAGCAGUUUUCAACUGCUCCUUAAUGAUCUUAACCUUUUCCAUAGCUUGAUGCACGAGGUCUGGUCCUAUCAAUUCAGCUUCCCCAAUCUCGAACCACCCAAUAGGAGAUCUAUAUCUCCUACCAUAUAAAUGCCUCAAAUGGUGCCAUAGGAAUACUAACUGAAAGCUGUUGUUAUAAGCAAACUCUAUGAGUAGCCAAUGAUCAUCCCAGCUACCCUUGACGUCAAGAACACAAGCACACAACAUAUUCUCAAUUGUCUAAAUAGUCCACUCUGCCUGCCCGUCAAUCCGUGGAUGAAAGGUUGUACUAAGAUUCACCUGAGUGUCACACCUCUUUUUUCACUACACUCCGAGAAGGGGUAUAUAAGGGAGUUUUUUUCAACUUAAAGUGACAAUCAAAACGUGAUUAUUUAUUUAUUAAAUUCAAAGUCGCCACUUGGGAUAAUUUAUGGUGUCCUAGUCACCGGUUUAAAUCUCGAAUCGAGGAAAAGAUUGACUCUGUUAUACAGUCCGCGAACCAGAAAUCCGGGUAAGGAAUUCUGUUAACCCGGGAGAAGGUGUUAGCCAUUCCCGGGUUCCGUGGUUCUAGCACGGUCGCUCAACUAUUAUUAUUGGUUUAAUUAUCUGAUUUUAAAAUAUUUUUAAAACCUAUGUGCAUUUUAACUUUAAAACCACUUUUAAUUAAUUUAAGGAAGAUUUCAACGUCAUCUGAAACACGUUUUUGGACCACGCCAUAUGAAAUGCACCCACAGUUCGAGACACAUUUUAUUUAACGUUGUUGAGAUUUGGAUUUGGGUCACAUGAAAUGCACACCCGAGUUUAAGGAGGUUAAUUUAAAUUACGCGCCUAAAGCAACUACGUACUUUCAAACUAAUAACAAAGUUUGCGAGGGCCAUGGAAAGUUCAAUUGAUGGCAACCCCCAAUUUUAAAAGAGUUACUAUUAAUUAAAUGAAGGCCAUGGGUUAUUUCAUAAAAAUGGUGCACCUCAAAUUUUCUAUAAAAAACUAGCUAGUUUUAUGAGGGCCAUGGGCUUAGGGGUUUUAUUUGUCAUGGUACCCCUCAAUUUAUUUCAAAGGGUUUUAUUAUUCGAAGUGGUUAUAAUCGGGUUACAUGGAAUGCACCCCUGAAUUGGAAUUUACGUAUCGUGACCAUGCCACGGGAACCGUACUUACGGCUGCGAUAAUUUAUUACAAAGAGCACCUAAAGCAUCUAAGACAAUGAGUUGAUGACAAAUCUCUCAAAGACACCAAGUCGAUCUAAUUCAAGAGGUACAAAUUUUCAAUACAACUCAAACCCUCAACCAAAGAUUAGAUGUAAACAAUAUCAGAUAAUAUAAAAUAUCUUCAGUUGGAUACACAAAUAAUUAAAUAGUGUAAAAUAGUAAUUUCAUUAAGAUUCUAUAUUAGUAUGUUAGAAUUUGUAUGGUGCACCAAUAACAAGCUUAUUACUCUAAGAAAAGUCUUAUCAUUUUUCACAACAAAGAUGUCCCAGAAACUUAAAUUUUCCUUCUCAAUAUUUACAAAUUACAUAAUGAUUGGUGACAUUUCAAUCUCCGUUCUACAUAAAACUAAACAAAAACCAAUUUUUAGAGUUACAUCAAAAUCACUUUAUGAAGCACAUACCAAUUAAUAUAAAGUGAAAAUUCUUACCUCAGAGAGCCAACAGUGUUUGCCAAAUUGACGUUGAGCCAUAGGUAAUGCUAGAAUCAUCAAGUCAUUGUUCUUGAAUGUAGACGCGUAUAUUUACGAAUUCUUACUCGUUACCAAUGUGGGGUAACAAAUUUCAUACAUAACAAUUUCAAUCUGAACAUAUGAGCCAACCCAUAAUGUUCUUUUCUCUUUCUUUUUAGCAACAAACAAGGUCAGAGAAAGAAAAACAGAUGGCUAGCAAUCUAAUGCAGAAAAUAAGGGCAUCCUGGAGCAAGUGGACUAAUUAAAAGGGAAACACUAAAAUAAGCUCAAAUGUGGUAGAAAUCAACAAAUGUAACUCUAGUAACAAUUUCAAUAGCAGUAAUUACACAAUUGAGAUAACUGAGAUGAACCAAAUCGAGGCCAAUACAAAUUCAGAUGAAACUCAAAAACGAUUCCAACAGCUACAACAACAAGUUUCGAAUUCACAAGCCCAGAAACGAACAAACCAUGUAGCAUAAAUUUGAACAACCCUUUAAUCCUUUUUUUUCGAUUUUUUUUUCACUCUUGUUUUGAAGUUUUCUAGAUCUGAAAUUUGACUUGCCAACUUCCUCUCUCAACAAGUUCAAGCGUGUGUGUGUGACUGCGUGUUUUUCUGUGGUUUUUCAAGAAGAAGAAGGAAGGGACAUGGCGCUGGGUCUCAAGGAUCUAGCAUCUGAUUGAUCUUUUGAAGGUGAGAGAUGAGUAAGAAGGUCCAGAGGGGCGCCGUUUUCUCUCUCUGCUGUCUGAAGGGGAGUGUUCUAUUAUGUCUAAAAAAUCCCCCUCCCUUAGGUC